UAAAAAAGCCUAGCUUUUGCUUGUCGUUUAAAACUCUAAUUGCAUAUGCUUAAUUUAUUUUAUGCUUUGGUUCAGUAGAUCACCCAAAUAAAAUAAACCAAAGCUCAUGUCACAUGAUUUGCAUUGCAUCAUAGCAUACAUAUUUUUUGCUUGUAUGGUGUGUUUUAUGUAUGUGUAUGUUUGCUUGAUUGUAUAGCUUUCUCGAAGAGCGAACUGUGUGACUGUGAAGAGUGUCUGAAUACCAACUUCUAUCAAGACAAGUUCACUUUGAUCAUUCACCUAUUACUUUAUUAUGCACUAGAUUUUAUUAGUUGCAUUGUUAGGAUUAUUAUUGUAUCUAUGCUAGCUAUGAUCGGUCCUACUAGUAUUGGAUACCUUUGUCAUGAUCCUUACCACCAAUUGCCAUCGUGCUAGUAAAAUGCUAUGCUAUGAUAAUAUACGAGGGUGGUAUUAUUACAAAUGUGAUACUAUUGAAUUACAAUAUGAUUUUCCUAGUGUAUGGCAAAACAAGUAAUUCAAUGAAUCGUCCUGGUGGGCUGCUUUGAGUUUUCGGAUGUCGUGACGUUGGGUCCAUUUCUAUGGGGCCCGCUGAGUCGUCUCUCCGUGUGAUUCGGGAGCGUCCAUGGUCGUCUCCCCGUGCGAUUCGGGGAGCGCCUGCGUCACAAUGUGGGAUGCCACCCGGGAUAACCAGAGACUGGACUAGUUUCCUGUUUAGUAACUUCCAGUACAACCACAUGGUAUUAUGGGCUCUGCCAGGAUGGAUGUAAGAAAUAUGAACCCGGAUCCGAGGUGACAUCGGUAUGUAGCAGUGUAGGUGGGGGCGCGUCUCUCAGGUGGUUUGGGGGAAUAUGUUCUGAAAAUUCCUGUAAUCGAUGCCGUUGCUACUCUACCCUGAGGACAGCAAGGGAUUAACACGUCGAUUUCUUGUGGGUAAAGUGUACCACCUCUCGAGAGUGUCAAACUAAGUACUUAGCCGUGUCCCCGGUUACGGACAAUUAUGAGCAACUAGAUGUUGAAGCUGUAAGGAAAGUCUCACUCAUUCAAAUUUUCUAAUAAAAUGAAUGGUUUGAACUGGGUAGGAGCAUUGAUGUUUCUACUCAAUGUGCCUAGGUUAAUAGGAGCAUGGGUGUUUCUACCCCGUGUACAAUAGAAUUCAAAACUAUUUGCCUAAAAAUGAUAGGAUUUGAAUAAUGAUGCUUUUAUGCAAAAUAACCAAACCCCACCUAUCCAAACUAUGCAUGUACUUGGUAGGUCCUUUAUAACUCUAGUGAGCUUGCCAAUACAUUCAAAUGUAUUGACCACGUAGUGGCUGCAAUUAAUAAUGCAGGUGAAACUGACGAAGAGUGAGGUUCGUCGAUAUUUCUCUGGGUCAUGUGCUUACAUUCCAACAUGCUCUCUCCUCUGGGAGUAGAUGAGGCCCUUCUUCUCUACUUUUCCGCUGCAGCUUCGUGAUACUUUGUUAUCAUGGUUUUGAACAUUAUUUGUUUAUGCUGGCUUAGGAGGUCAUGCAAGUUUGUAAGUACAAUUUAAGUUCUGGAUGAUACGAUGUAAUAAAGUACUUUUGACCAUUGUAUCUUGGUAUUACAUCUUGAACUGUGUGUGCUAGUGAGUCGAUCCAGGGACUAGCACAAAUAAGCACAGAGAUCGAACUCUUGGUGAAGGGGGAUUGCUUCAACAGUGCUAUAUAAUACAUUCUUCAUUCUACGUACUCCCAAUUGCGCUAUAUAAUACAUUCUACAUUCUACGUACUGCCAAUUGCACUAUAUAAUACAUUCUACAUUCUACAUACUCCCAAUUGUGCCAUAUUCUCCCUAAUUCAUGUGAAACGUACGUGGGAGCAACUACACCCGAUAGGUUGAUAUAUGGCUAUUACAUACAUUAACCACGUCUUGAACCGUAUCCAUGCUUUGUAGGGGAGAUGAUAAAUGAAUGUCCUAAAAAGUUCACUAGAUUUGUGCAUGUGGCCUUCGUGUUCAGUUUAUGUCUAAAUGAGGUCCACUGAUCCAAAUAUCCAGUGAUCCCAUAGCUAGUCACCAUUGAAUAGGUACUGGGUAUACACCGAAGACCCUGAAGCACCGCCGAAGGCUCACCUUAUUCUCCUUGAGCCUCUUCCACGAAGUUGUGGUUCAUUCACUUCGACUACAUUCUUCCUCCACUCCAGAGAUGGCAAGCUCCAAUGCCACUUCACAAAUCCCAUGAAGGGGAACCUCGGGCCUCUUCAUAAUCUCCACGAAGAGGUCACCAAAGCAACAAAUACUAAGCUAUCUAGUAGGAGAACCCCCAAGAGUAACAAGCUCAUGGUAUCUCACUCGAACUAAUCAAGGUGGAGAGUUCGAACCAAUGCACCAAAUGCAAAACAAAAACAUAAGAUAUGCACAAAUCCCUCUCUCCCAAAUCCCACCCAAAGCAACAAAUGCUUGGGAGAAAUUCGAGAGGAAGAACAAGGGAGGAGGUCAACCAAUGAAUCCUCCAACUAGAUCCAUAAAUUUCCCUUCACUAAGAUGGGGGAUUUGGGGCUUCGGGAGGUGGAGAAAGCUCAAGAAAAUGGGGGAAUUUUAGAUCCAAGAAGCCCUCUUACUUUUGGGGAAGAAGUUCCUUAUAUAGGGAUCCCCAAAUCUUCCCGUUCGGACAAGAUUCCACGACCAGGAGGCCAUCCUGUAGGCUCCAUGCCAAAUUCUGGAUGAAACAAUGUGCUUAGAAAAAUCUUACUGGACUCACUCGGAGGCCAACCGGAGGCUCCAGAUUCAAAUCCGGGCUGCCCAAAACUGCAGCAACUCACACUAAAACGGCAAUAACUUUUGCAUACGAACUCCGAUUUCGAUGAACUUGGUCUUGUUUCGAAGAUAACAACGAGCUCUAUGUUCUCACAUAGAAAACCAGCAAAUAUAAACCAAAAAAGAUGAUGCAAAAUUUGCAAAAUUGAAAAGCUUUGAGCACUUUACGCAGGACGAGUUUAAGCAACUUGCCCGAAAGCCCCUCUUGAUACAAUGGCUAUCGAACUUAUAAUCCACUCUCUCACCAAAAUCCUUGAGACUAGUAAAACUAGGAAACCUAGCUAAUAUAUACAUUUGCCUUGUGCAAUCCACUUGAGGUUGAUCUUUGCGCUUCAUCUUGGUCAACCUUCAUCUUUGCUUUACAUCUUGAUGAUAUUUUGAAGCCAAUAAUGAACUCUUCACUUAAUCUUCAUUGCUUCAAGACUUGAUUACCAAAAGCUUUCUCAUGAUUAUACUUGCGAUUCACCAUGAAUAACAUUUUGGUCCUCAUUUUUAUCACAAAAUCUUGAGACACUAAAUGGAUUCUUCGUUCGAUUGCUUGCUCCAAGACUUGGUUAUAUUAACAUGACUCAACUCAUGAGCUCAACAUAACCUUGUCUUGAAACCAUAUGUUGAAUCUUUAUCUUGUAAUCAUUCUCUCAAGAUAUUAAUCCUCCAUGGCUCAACUCAUGAGCCCAACAUGAUCAUCUUCAUGCCUUCAAGUUCUCUUCAUUUUCAUUUUCUUGAGCAUAUUUGAUUUACUCAUUGAAAUCCAACUUGAUGUCUUCAAUUUCAUACACUUUACUUACUAACAUUCCUUCAUAUAAAGCUCAAUGCAAACAUUUGUCCAUAGGGAUUGCCAACACUUACCAAAACCACACGUCCAAUUGUCAAAUUUCAAUGUAUAUAUUUAUCUUUAAACAUUUAUCAGUGAAUUAACCAAGUGGUCUUCUUGCAUUGCCUAUGAACCACACAUAUAGGUUUGAUGGAACAGUUUGUAAAUUGCAUAUAGCCAAAGAUGUAGAAGAUGGCCAUAUCAAAUCUUUUAAUAAAAGGCCAUAAAUUAAUGCAACAUUACUUCCUUGAUCUCUAUAUUUUCCCAUAUGUUUGAGAAGAUAUGGAUUUUAAAGCACCAAUCUUGAGACCCACACUCUAUGGUUGAGAUAGUAGGACCACAUACAUAUACAAGUAUUAAAGAUCCAAUCUCUAUGAACAGCUGGAAUCGAUGGAAGCAUGAACAAAAGUGGAAGUUGGUUUCAUUUUUCAUCUUGUUUCAUUCUCCGACUGCCUUCCCAAAGGAAACUCGGCAGGAGGCCAUUUUAUCAACAUAUUUUGCAUUUACUUAUUCUUGCAAAGGAACGUUUGAACUUUUGAUUGUUCAAAAAUAUCAAUAUUUCAAAAGAACUUACUGUAGCAGUAAAUACAUGGUAAAGAAAUUGAUCUUUAGAACUUUAGAACUUAUACGAUCUUUUGUGUCCUACAGAUUUUGGCCACUCACAUGAAAUUGAUCUUUAGAACUUAUACGAUUAUGUCUUACGAAUAAGUCUUUAUGCUAUCUCAACCAUAGUAUGGGUAUGUCAAGAUAGUGCUUUAGGAUAAAAAUCUUUGUGAAUAAAUGACAAAAUCUAAAAGAUUAUAAAUUAGUGUAGCAGUAAAUAAUGAUCAUUUAUUAAAAGAUCAAUAUAUUCGGCUACGAUUAAAGCUUUCCAAUUUUUUUCGUAAAUAGAUAAAUACAAAACAUUCUAUAAAUUGUGUUUUUGAAAUAUCUGUAUUUUUUUUCUUUUCGAAAUAUCUAUAAAUUGUCUAGGAGGCGUGUUUUGGAAGACAUCAGCUCAGUUGGAGACAGAAGAAGAGCGGAAAAGAAAAACGCCAGCUCCGUUCUCCAUCCUUGUCCCGGCUAGAUCCAUCCCGACCACUCUCCCAAAUCAGCCACAAAUCCCACCACCAAAUCCCAAUUUGAUUCCUCCCUGAAUCAACCCGCUUACAUGGCUCCCUGCUGAAAUCCGCACAACUGAUGAUCGCCGUGAGCUCUCUACAACAAGCGAUUCCCCACAGCAAGAACUGCUCAUGGUCCAUUGGUAGAACCCUCGUCGACAACGUCCCCAUCAAUUCAAGCAUGCAUCGCUGAACUUUCAAAUAAUCUCCUUAAGGUUAGACCAAAUAUUGAAUUUUUUUUCUCAGACCCUUUUCGUCUUAUGCAUAGAUCUGUAUGACUUUUAGCCAUCGCAGCCUUCCUUGGCGCAUCGAGCUCGUUCUCGUUGCCCGGAUUUGGAUCAAUGUGUAUACGUGGUAAUUUGGUAUGUUUGUCAGGGAUAGCAAGCACCUACACCGUAGUGUGCAUGUGUUCGACCAUGGCGGGGGAGGAGCCCGUGGAGGGAAGCCAGAGUAGGAGUCGGAUGGAUCUGAACCUCACACAAUUGCCGCGGCCUCUAGGACAGCUGGGAGGGGCUAUUGAUUGUUUGGAGCUGGCAAAACUGCAGGAGCUGCCCAUCGCUGAAGUUCCAAGAACGGGUGAGGUAGCAGGGUUGCAGGCACCAGAGGAGACACCGCUACAGCCCGCGGUGUACUCUUCAUCCAAUGCACUAUCCAUGCCAGAGCUCCCCACUCCGGAGCUAUCGCUUAUAGAUCCGAUGAUCAUUGAGUGGAUCGACAACCUAACUACAAACAGUGGAGAGGGUCUUGAUGUUGGUGAACCUGCUGCGGUGCCCGCAAAUGAUGGAAAUGUGUCGUCACCCGUGAUGCCGCCACCGCUGCCGACUCUAGUUGGUUCGGAUGAUAUUGGUCUUGAAUGGGUGGAAAGGCGUUUGCACCCUCUUGUGGUGCCUCAUGUCAUCCCUAUGGAGAUGGUCAACACAACGCGAGGGCAUGGCGGUGGUGCAAUUGAAGAGAUGACGCCCGAGCUCCACCCACAAAGGCUCUCACAGGUGAGCGAACACCACUGCAUCAUGAGUCCAGGACCAGUGACCCGCAACCAGCGGGCAACUAGUCCAGAAGGGGAUAGACUGGUGCAGGCCAUCAAGGAGUCUCAUAGCUCACUAGUCGCCUCAAGGGGUUCUAUAAAGUGCAGGGACUGUGGAUGUAACUCCAGUUUUGGGUGCAAUAUCUGCCUAGAAGCAGCCAAAGAGCCGGUGGUUACACCGUGCGGUCACAUGUUCUGCUGGCCAUGCUUGUACCAGUGGCUUCAUGGACGUUCGGUCCACCCUGUGUGCCCUGUCUGCAAGGGAGGGGUACUCGAAGUAAACGUCACACCGAUUUAUGGAAGUUCAGGUGAUGAACGUGGCGCCUCCAACAAUCAUAUCCCUCCUAGGCCUCGUGCUAACAGAACUGGGAGCUUGAGGCAGCAUCUGGAAAUGCAGGAAUCAAGAGGCAUCGCAAACAUGGUGAGACAGUUUAUAGAAAAUCAGGAGAUAUUGAGAGCCAAUUCUGUUGCACCUGGAGGUGGGGGUGAGGUGACUGUGCUUCCUGCAGCCCAGCCAAGGGGUGGUAGGGUUCAGCGACAACAAAGACAAGAUAAUGAUGCAGGCAAUACAAAUUCCCCAACACUGCAGCAAGUGAGCAAUCCUGCCCCUCGGGGUGGCAUUCAGGUUACAAUGCAAUCUUCUAGUGCUGAUAAUGAUGCACUAGCAAUUCCUCAGCAGUCAUCAUCCAUGGAGCAGGCAUCGACUUCCAGCACCGUGGCUGUUAUAGUGGGGCAGACAGCCCAAAGUAGGAGGUCAAGGCCUUCGGAGUCUACCACAACCACAAGGAGAACAAGGAGGAGGAGGCAGCAGCAACAGCAGUAGGUAAAGGUGAUGCUGGCAUUUUCAGCAAUAAAACUUAGGGGUUCCCUAAAACCUAUAUAGAUCAUGACCAAUUGUUACCAUGGUUAGCUCCCGAUACAUCUUGGGAUCUUAAUGUAGGAAUGAUAUGCUAUCACUCGCUCAUGUAUACCCUUUUCAUGGCAAAUGAGUAAAACUUUCGGUUUCAGCAUAUUUGGGAAAUUUUGAGCAUAUGGAUGUGUUGUCAGUUCUUUACCAUGUAUGAUGGUAUAAAUUUUCUUGAUUUUGCAUCUGUUACCUGUAUGUACAAUAGAUUAGUGUAUGUCAUUGUGUUUCCUGAUACUGAAAACUUUCAGGUGUGCAUCUAUUUGCUCAGCUACAGUUUUUGUGCUGUCAGGGCCGAUGAAGACGGCAACCAACCAAUGCAUUGUUCUUCUCGUUGUUCUCCUAUUUCCCUCUUAUAAUUAAUAUCAGUAGUUAAUCUACUAAUCUAGUGUCAAAAGAAAGACUGCCUUCCAGAUCUAGCUACUAACCAAACAGGUCAUUAUAUAAAUAGAUAACACAUAAAUAGCAACUGUACCUCCAUGUUUUCAUGCAAAGACUUAAUCGGCUGGAGGAAAAGUAAGAGAGAAAAAAGAUUAACAAAAUAUUAUUGCAGACCCAUUCGGACACAAAAGCACAAUCCGGUUUCAUUCGGCUUGUACAGAAAUGAAAGGCCUUUUCCGUCCCAUUUUUUGACGAACCUGGCAGUUGUACUGCCUUUUCAAAUAGAACGAGAACAAGAAACAAAUUCACCUAGUACAAAUUACAGCGAUUGAGAAAAGCUCCAGGAAAAAUAACAUCAACUUGACCAGCAAGUGCAAGUUGACAACAACACACACUCAGACUACCUCUCUAUCGCCUCCAAAAGGAGACAUAAUUCAUCCUCGAUCAACGUAUACAGAGAAAAGGUGUUACACUCCUUUUGUUGGAACACUCUGUUGUUCCUUUCCUUUCACAAAUGCCACACAAUUAUGGCAGCCAUCGUAGUUUCCUUCUUCUUGGUCUCCGACUUUGGUCCCGAGACGAUGCGCCGCCACCAAGAUCUCACUGUGAAGCUAGACGCUGCAAUAGCGGCAAGCCGAGGCCAUCUAGUACCGCUAGCAUGCCACAGCUCCUUCGCGAAAGAACAUCCCAGAAGUAGAUGUGCACUUUUCCGUCCCAUUAUCAACGUGCUUUGCUGCUGUUGUUUUUCCGUGAUAUUUUCUGCUUUCUAGGUUGUUGUCAGGUUCAUAGGGAUGUGAAAUUUGACGCAUUCUUUUCUCCAUCAGGUAUGUAGAGGUUGUGCUAUAGAAAACACAUCGCAUUAUGCGCUGACAAAUUCAGCAGUGAGCAUGUACUUAUCGUACAUAGCGUCAGGUCAAUACAAAAAACACUUGUCAUCAUAGUACAGGGGUUAAGAGUAAUAUGCCCUCAUAUAUUUUGUUUAUGCGCAUAGCAGCCUAGCAGGAGACCUAAGCUCCGUUGGAGGCAGAAUUUACAUACAAACUCUGAAGAUUGCAACAGAACAAACCGCUGAGAGAUAACUAAAUCUAACAUCAUUUUGUAUAACCAAGACUGGGUAAAGAAACAAAUGUACUUUCUCAAAAAUUGGCCUAAAAAUCGUGCCAAAAAAUGGCCUAAAAAUAAAAGAACUCAUCAUUAGGCACCGAAAUAAUUUGAACCAGAGGGGAAAUGAAAAACCAUUGUGUUCCAUGAAGCUUACAAACCUGCUAGUCAGAAGAUGGCACGCGGAGAAGCAGCUUGUACCAUGCGUAUAUCUUGUGUACUCGAGAACCAAUACUCCAUAUGUACAAUUGAGGGCACAGGCAACCAGAUCGUAUUGAUAAUAAAAGAAUCCAACAUAAACAAAAUGCAAGACCAACUGAGCUACAAAAUUUAAACGAAGUUGGCAUAAAUUUAAUUCCAUCAAGUAGAUACAGAGUGCCAUGAAACCAUGUUUGAUGAGUUUUCACCUAAAUUACUGGAAAUAUGCAAAAGAAAAUCAUUUAGCAUGGAAGAGAUGAACUUUUUUCUCCCUUUAAUUUUCAAAGAAAUCCAUCGUAGUGCAUACAAGCUUAUAGCAGCCUUUAACUAUGUGAACAGGCAAGGUUCAUGUCUUGUCACACUUUUUGAAAUCCAUUAUUCAUAAUGCUUGAUUGCGAGUUAUUAUAACUAUAGUUCAAGUGGAAAAAAUUAUUUGGUGUUGGCGACAAACAAUUGGUCUGGUGGUGUGGAUGCUAUUUAAGCUCCCGCCGAAGUUGUUGAUCCACAUAAAGCAAAAAGAAAUUGAUUCAAGGAUUUUACAUACUCACAUUCAUAUAUUCACUUAUAUUGUGCUGCAACCAUCGAUGAGAAAAUAUAUCGUGCUAAUGCCUUGUCCAGGCCGCCGGAGAAGUCAACCGGCCGGCGCCACGUAUUGGGAGCAAACCAUGGCUUGGUCCCUGGAGUUCGUAUCUGGCAACUGCGGAGUCCACGGCCGGCAAGGAUGCUGAUCUGGAAAGAAAAAAUUGGGAUGAAGAGGAAACCAAUUCGCAUCUAAUCGCGUCAUUUUUUGGAUCAACAUCCUGUGAGUAACGUGCAUAGAGCUUGUGCGGGCGUCCCUGCAGAUCUGUCGCGAAGAAACGGCCGCCACCGGCGGAGGCGACAGCGGCGUGGGAGGAAAUGGAUGGGCGAGGGAGGCAGUCGAGCGGCUGCCCAAGAAAACGCCCCGAGGACCGGCUUCUCCAGCCCGAGUUGGUAUGGGCCCAGUACAAAGUUAAUCGGGCCCAAAUGCCUCCUGCGGCCCUUAACUUUGUGCCGGGCCCAGCUAUACUCGCCAGGGGUUUUCCGGCCCGAUCCAUGCCGUUUCCACGAGAAAACAAUCCACGCCUCCGCCUUCUCCUCUCUCCCUCCGGCGGCGAACUCCCCGGACGGCCGUCUUCUCCGGAUGCCUUCCCAAAGGAAACUCGGCAGGAGGCCAUUUUAUCAGCAUAUUUUGCAUUUGCUUAUUCUUGGUAAAGAAUGUAUAAACUUUUGAUUGUUAAAGAAUAUCAAUAUUUCAACAGAACUUACUCCUCUUUUUACGUUCUUCUACGGAUUUUGGCCACUCGCACACUGAAUUGAUCUUUAAAACUUAUACGAUUAUGUCUUGCAAGUAAGUCUUUGUGCUAUCUCAACUAUAGUGUGGGUCUGUCGAGACAGUGCUUUAGGAUCAAAAUCUUUGCGAAUAAAUGAUGAAAUGUAAAUUUUUAAUUAAUGGCUGUCUAUUAAAUGAUCGAUAUAUUCAGCGACAAUUAAAGUUUUCCAAUUUUUUCAAAAUAAAAAAUAAGUACAAAACGUUUUAUAAAUUGUGUUUUUUAAAGAUCUAUAAAAAAAAUUCUUCUUCAAAAGAUCAAUAAAUUGGCAUGGAGGCGUGUUUUGGAAGACCGCAAUGCCAGCCGGAGAGACAGGAGAAGAGGAGCGGAAGUAAAACGCCAGCUCCAUUCUCCAUCCUUGUCUCGGCUCGAUCCACUCUUGCCACUCUCCCGAGUCCGUCACAAACCCCACCAAAUCCCAAUCUUAUUCCUCCCCAAUCUACCUACUCACAUGGCUCCUUGCCGAAAACUGCACCACCGCUGAUCGUCGUGAGCGGUGGGCAAAACCCUCACCGACAACGUCUCCAUCGAUUCAAGCAGGCGCCGCUGAAUUUACGGAGUGUCUCCUUAAGGUUAGGCAAAAUACCCAUUUUUUCUCAAGCCCUUUUCAUCAUAUGCGUAGAUCUGUACGGCUUUUGUCCAUCGCAACCGUCCCCGGCGCAACGAGCUCGUUCUUACAGCCCAGAUUCGGAUCAGCGUGUAGAGGUGCUAAUUUGGUUUGUUUUGUCGAGGUUAGCAAACAUUUGCACCGCAGAGUGUAGGUGUUCGGCCAUGGCAGGGGAGGAGCCCGCAAAGGGAAGCCAGAGCAGCAGGCGGAUGGAUCUGAACCUCAAUCCGUUGCCAUGGUCUCCAGGCCGACUAGGUGGGGCUAUGGAUUGUCCUGAGCCGACACAGCUAUCGGAGAUGCCCAUCGCUGAACUUCUAAGAAUGGAUGAGCCACCAGGAUUGUUGGUACUUGAGGAGCCACCGCUACAGCCCUUUCCGGAGCUAUCGCUGAGGAGGCAGGUGUCCGAUGCGCUCUCCAUGCCAGAUGUCUCCAAUCCAUUGCUGACGGAUCCAAUGAUCCUCGAGUGGCUCGACGGACUCAUUAUAGGAAAUGGAGAGGGUCUUGAUGAUGGUGAACCAGUUGUGGUGCAAUCAAACGAUGCCAAUGCCUCGUCAGCGUUGCCGCCGCCACUACUACCGACUCUUGCUGGGUUGGAAGAGGUUGGUCUUGAAAGGAUGGAAAUGGCCAGUGCGACUCAAGGGCGCGGCAGUGUCUCAAUUGUAGAUUUGACGCCUGAAUUCCGCCUGCAGCUUGCCAUCCAGGUGGGCGAACAUGACCGCAUUGUGAGACCUCGACGAGUGAGCCACUACGAGCAGGCAAGUAGUCCAGAAGCAGAUAGACUGGUCCAGGCUAUCACUAGGUCUCAUAGCUCACUAGGCGUAUCAAGGGGUGCUAUCAAGAACUGGAACUGCGGAUGCAACUCAAGUUUUGAGUGCAAUAUCUGCCUAGAAGCAGACAAAGAGCCAGUGGUUACACCGUGUGGCCACUUCUUCUGUUGGCCAUGCUUGUACCAGUGGCUCAAUGGACAUUCAAUCCACUCUGAGUGCCCUGUCUGCAACAGAGAGGUGUUCGAAGUAAACGUCACACCGAUUUAUGGAAGAUCAGUUCAUGAAUGUGACCCCUCCAACAAUGAUGUCCCUCCUAGACCUCAUGCUAACACAAUGGAGAGCUUGAGGCAACAGUUGCAAACGCAAGACCCAAGAGGCAUCGCCUCAGCUGACCCAGUACCGCUGCACGCGGGCUAUACAGCUUCCCAAACACUGUUGGAAGUAAGCAAUCCUGCCCCUAACGGUGGCAUUGAGAUUACAAUGCCAUCUUGCAGUGCUGAUAAUGCUGCCCUUGCAAUUCUUUGAAGCGACCGCCCCCUUACUAGGGUUCGAUCUCUGUGUUUAUCUGUGCUAGUCCUUGAAUCGACUCACUAGCACACACAGUUCAAGAUGUAAUACCAAAAUACAAAGGUCAAAUGUACUUUAUUACAUCGUAUCAUUCAAAACUUAAAUUGUACUUACAAACUUGCAUGACCACUUAGGCCAGCAUAAACAAAUACUGUUUCAAAACCAUGAUAACAUUGUAUCAUAAAACUACAGCGGAAAGGUAGAGCAAAUGGGCCUCAUCUACUCCCAGAGGAGAGAGCGUGUUGUAAUGUAAGCACAUGACCCAAAGAACAUCGACGAACCUCAUUCUUCGUCAGAUUCACCUGCAUUAUUAAUUGCAGCCACUACGUGGUCAAUACAUUUGAAUAUAUUGCCAAGUUCACCUGGAAGUUAUAACAGAUCCUACCAAAUAUAUGUCAUUGAGGUAGAGUGGAGUUCAGGCUUUGUGGCGUGGUAGCAAAACAUAGUUUAUGUUACUACAAGUGAUUGUUACAAUAUUGUUAACUAAUGGACACGGGGUAGAAACACCCAUGCUCCUAUUAACCUAGAGCACAUUGAGUGGAUUCAUCAAGUGCUACUACCCUGUUCAAACCAUUCAUUGUAUUUAAGAAAUUGGAAUGAGUGAGACUUUCCUUACAGCCCCAAUAUCUAGUUGCUCAUAAUUGUCCGUAACCGGGGACACGGCUAAGUACUUAGUUUGACACUCUCGAGAGGUUGUACACAUUUUUCACAAAAAAUCGACGUGUUAAUCCCUUGCUGUCCUCCUGGGGGAGUAGCAACAACAUGUUUGCCCAGACCACCUGAGGGACCCGCGCUCCCACCUACACAACUACCUCAGUACAAUCCCUCGGAUCUGGGUUCACAUUUCUUACUCCAUCCAGCCAGAGCCCAUUUAGCUUGUGGUUGUACUGGAAGCUACUAAACAGGAAACUAGUCCAGUCUCUGUUUAUCCCGGGUGGCAUCCCACAUUGUGACGCAGGCGCUCCCUGAAUCCACAGAAGAGACGUCCAUGGACGAUCCAUUCCUGAAUCCACAGGAACUCGACUCAGAGGAACCCAUAGAAAUGGACCUAACGUCACGACAACCGAAUACUCAAAGCGGCCCACCCAGGACGGUUCAUUAGGGUUGUUUUUGCCAAGUUUCCAAAAUACUUUAUAAUAACACUUUCAUGGUAAUUGAGAUUUCCUCCCACGUAUACUAACAUAACGUAACAAAUCAACUACUCACGAUGGCAAUUGGUGGAAGGGUAAUGGCAAAGGUAACCCUAUAGCUAGUAGGUCAAUCAUAGCUAGCAUAAGUACGAGUAAUAGUCCUAUCAAUGCAUUUCUACAAACAACUCUAAUGCAUAAGUACUUUAAAAACAAACAGUAAUAGGAUAUGAUCAAGAUGAACUUGCCUUGAUAGUAGUUAGAGUAAAACACUCGUCACAAUCGCAAGGUUCGCUCUCCGAGAAUACUAUACAAUCAACAAACAUAUACACACACAUAAACACACAAUACAAACAUGACAAAAGAAUAUGUAUGCCAUAAUGUGAUGCAAAACAUGUGACAUGAGUGGGUUGGUUUUAUUUUGGUGAUCUACUGGUCCAAAGCAUUGAUAAUUAAGCACAAGUAAUUAGGGUUUUAAACAAAAUGCAAUGGCUAGGGUUUAAACCCUAAAAUGAGGUUUUAUUUGCAUCAGCAAAUUUACUUAAUUCAAAAUAAAACAAAAUUUUGGGCACUGGUUUCAUUCAAAAAGGACUUCUAAAUAAUUAGUUAUGAUUUAAAUGGCAUAAAACCCUAAUCUGUAAUUUGAAUGUGAUUCAAAUAUUCAAAUUUGAAAUUGGACAGUGCCAAAAGAUUCUACAUUUCCCAAGGAUUCCAAAAAGGUGUGGAUCAUUAAAUUUGGCCAAACAGAUUUAAAGUUAUGAACAUUUGAAGUUACAAGGGCUUUUCUGCAAAAGUGCCUUUUAUUAAUUCCGGGGGAUUAAAAAUUAGAUUUUCAUUUUAUUUACGCAGUGACACGUGGCGGCUCCUGAUUGGUGCGUACCGGUUCGUUUAAGUGAAAUAAAAGAGAUCUAAUCUACACCGUUGGAGAUGGAUGGACGGACGAGAUUGAUCGGGGAGGCUCACGCUAGGGUUUCGGCCGGGGGAAUUCCGGCGAGCGGCGGGGUGCGGCGGCGGGCGGCUCGGGGACGGGCUGGGUCGACGCGGCGCGGCACGGCGGAGUCGGCGGCGCUCGGGGUCGGCACGGUCGGCGCCUAGGAAGAAGGCGGGCGGGCGGGGGCGCGACGCAGACUCCGGCGAGCGGCGGGCGGCGCUACUCCGGCGGCUGCAGGGCACCAUGGUCAAAAACACACGCGUCAAAAGAUGCGCCUGGACGAGGGGCUCCAGAAAUUUGUAAGCGCGGGCGGUAAUGCUCACCGGCGAGGUCCGGGCGGCGCGGUGAACGGCGGCGGCGGAGCUCUUCGGCGAAGAAUCGGGACGGCCUGGUGGCGUGAUAGCGAGGGGGAGCAGACGAGAAGAGGAGAGGGGCGCGUUGGCUUUAAAAGGACGCGAGCGGCUCGGUUCGGGAAGGUCGGGAGGGGCGGAUCCCGGUGAUGGCGCGCGGCGCAAGAUUUCCGGCCGCCUUCCUUGCGAGGAAGAAGACCCCGACAGGUGGGGCCCACCUGUCGGUGGCUUACGCGGGCACGCGCGCGGGCGGACCGGGCUGGCUGGGCCGGCUCGCGUGCGGUCGGUCGCGGUCGGACUGGGCCGGUUCGGCCCAAAGUGGCCGGGCCGGUCCGGUUUUCUCCUCUCUUUUUUUUCCUUUAGCCCUUUUCUUUUUCUGUUUUUCUUAUUUCUUUGAUGACCGUCUCCAUAUGGGCUAUAAAAGGUUGUUCCUUCAAAUCUCUCCCAUAUGUAUCACCUAACCCUCAACCAAGUAAACAUAUACAUAGUAUGGGUUAGUCCACAAGUUCAAUAUACGAUUGCUUACCAUAUGCUUCAUGCAUAUAAUCCUCGAGGUGUUGUUCUUGAACUUGCUCUUCUCAACCUUCAGAAUAAUCACCACUUGAUGGCAUCUCUCAUGGGCUAUAUGAAAUCUUCCUUUUUGAUCCAAACCCAUGAGUUGCACCUAACCCACAUAUCGAUAUACCAAAUACAUAGUUUAUGGGUUAGUUCACAAAGGCAAUUGACAGAUGCUUACCAUACCACUAGAUCACACGCCGUACAUCAUUUAUGCUUGUGUGCACUUCAUUUCGGUCAACCUUCAUACUUGCUUCACUUUCCAUCUUUAUGAUACCUUGAAGCCAAUAAUGAACUCUUCACUUAACCUUCAUUGCUUCAAAACUUAAUCACCAAAUGCACUCUCAUGACCAUACAUGGGAUUCACCAUGAAUAUCACUUUGGUCUUCUUUAUUCUCUAUCGCAAUAUCUUGAGACACAUAAUGGAUUCUUCACUUGAGUGCUUGCUCCACAACUCGGUCAACCAUGACUCAACUCAUGAGCUCAACAUAACCUUAUCAUGAAACCAUAUGUUGAAUCCUUAUCUUGUAAUCAUUAUCUCAAGAUAUUAAUCCUUCACGGAAACUUCACUUUCUUCUUCUUGAUAAUAUUUGAUUCACUCAUUGAAAUCAAAUGCACAUAUUCAAUUACGAACAAUUGGAGGAGCUCACAAUAUAUUGAGGAUCAGAGAAUGCAACAAGAUAAUAUGAUAAGAUAAAAGCAUCAAACAUGUAAAACAUUCAUUCAGGAUCCAAAUGACAUAUUUUGGACAAGAUGCAACAAAGAUAUUCAAUAAGAUCACCAAGUCAAGCAUGGAUUCAAAAUACAUCCAAAAACAGAUGAGUGCAUAAAGAGAGAUGAAAUUCAUAAUACAAGCACUCAUAAAGCAAAUUUUUAUUCGAGUCACCAAAGAAUUAAAAGGAUAAGAUGGGUGACUGACAAGGAAUGAGGAUAUCAAGAAAAGACAUGAACUUUCUUAUAUGUAUAAGUUUCUAGGUGGAUAAUAAUCAAGAUGAUAUGUAUCCUCAAAGAAACAUGUACACACAAAAGAGUUACAAAAGAAAGCAACAUGAUAUCCAAGAACAAUGACAAAAAUAUACAAAUUUGAUCUUUGCAUAGAAGCAUAGCCCACGGCUAAAUUUGAUCUCAUUUGCAUAAAAGUGAACUUCAAAUAGAGAUAUGCACUUGUUCACAUAUAAAAUUUUCCAAGUGACAAAAAUAGUCAUCAAGAUGUCCAUACACAAGGAAACAUGUACACAUAAAAAGCAAUUUUAAGACAAGAUCAAGAUGUUCAAAAGAAAGGUAUUCAUAAUCACACAAAUUUGAUGUUAGCAUACAAGCAUGGCACAUGGCACAACAGUGAUCUCAUUUGCAUAAUCAUGAAUUGAAGCAUGAGAGCAUUCUAGCCAUCCCUACUAGUAAGAAGAAUCAAUUUGAAAAAUAGUUGAGAUGCUUAAAAUCAAAUAACCAAUUAAGAUACCAAAUGGAAAUAAAAUCUUUUGCAGAUCCAAUUGAAGAUGCCAAUUGUAACAUCUCAAAAUUUCAAACUUUUACAUGUGCAUUGCAUCCAUGAGCAUCAUGCCACAAUUGCAUGUUUGAAUUCAAAUUUUGAAUCACAAAAAGCUUUAAGAGAUUUUGUUUACAUCCCUGUAACCUUUGGAUUUUCAAACCAAUAGGGUUGAUGUAUAAAAAGGGUUUAAUGCAUAUAUAAGCUAUCCCAUAAUUUUUGGACAAUUAUUUAGAGUUGAAAACGUACUUUAUUUAAAUAGAUAUAUGGCCCUAAAGGCAUUUAUAGGGCAAAUGUAUUUUUAUAUAUUUUAUUUUGAAGAUAAACUAUUUCCAAAAGUGUAUCAUGGUAGAAUAUGAUUUUAGAAAUUUUCUGGGAUUUAUUUGGACCAAUUUGGAGUUCAAACUCAAAAGAUAUCAAAGAAAUGAGAAAAACAAAAAAAAGAAAAGGUCUAAAAGAAAAAAAAAGGGUAAACCGGACCGGCCCGGCCACUUUGGGCCGAACCGGCCCCGUCCGACCGCGCCUGAACCGGCCCAGUCCGACCGCGCCCGACCGGCCCAGCCCGCCCGGCCGCCCGCGCGCGCCCGCACCCGCUGACAGGUGGGGCCCACCUGUCAGGGGCUUCUUCCCCGGAAGGAAACCCUCGCACCGCCGCCGCGAUUUCCGGCCGCCAUCCCGGCGCGCCCGCCGCCGCAAUCUCCUCCUCCGGCCUUCCAUUUUCACGCCCGAGCACGUCUAUAUAACCCCCGCGACCCCCUCUUCUUUUCCCCCCCGUUUUCCCUCGCUCGCACGCCGCCAGGCCGCCGGAAUCCUUUGCCGGAGCCGCACCCGCGCCGCCGCAUCCUCUUCGUCCUAGGCGCCGACCGCACCGUCCCCGAGCGCCGCCGACCGCACCCCCGUCUCCGCCGUGCCGCGCCGCGCCUCCCCGUGACUUCCCCGAGCCGCCCGCGACGCCGGAGCACCCCGCGCCGCCUCACCCGUGCCCGCGCCGCCUUCUCCCCCGACUCCGGCAACCCGCGCCGCCUCGCCCGUGCCCGCGCCGCCGUCUCCCCCGACUCCGGCCGCCCGCGCCGCCCGGUAAACCCUAGAACCCCCCCCCCCCUCGUCCGUCCGAUCUAGAUCGAUGGCUAGGAUUAGAUCACUUAUAAGACGAACCGGUACGCACUGUGGAGCGUCCGAUCUUUAUAAGUUAGAUCUAACGGCUCGGAUUAAUCCACUUAAACCGAACCGGUACGCACCAAUGAGAACGCGCCACGUGGCCCUAGUUAAUAAAAUGAAAAUCUAAUUUUUAAUUUCCCGGAUUAAUUAAAUGGCAUUUUGCAGAUAGGCCCCUGUUAUUUCAAAUGAUCAUAAUUUUAAAUCUGUUUGGCCAAAUUUAGUGAUCCACACCUUUUUGGAAUCCUUAGGAAGUGUAGAAUCUUUUGGCACUGUCCAAUUUCAAAUUUGAAUAUUUGAAUCACAUUCAAAUUACAGAUUAGGGUUUUAUGCCAUUUAAAUCAUAACUUUAGAAGUCCUUUUUGAAUGAAACCAGUGCCCAAAAUUUUGUUUUAAUGUCCUCUGUCCAAUGGGGCAGAGAAAUAAAUAUUUUGAAUUAAAUUGUUUUGCAGAUGCAAAUAAAACCUCAUUUUAGGAUUUAAAUCCUAGCCAUUGCAAUUUAUUUAAAAACCCUAAUUGCAUGUGCUUAAUUAUCAACGCCUUGGACCAGUAGAUCACCCAAAUAAAACCAACCCACUCAUGUCACAUGUUUUGCAUCGCAUCAUGGCAUACAUAUUCUUUUGUCAUGUUUGUAUUGUGUGUUUAUGUGUGUGUAUAUGUUUGUUGAUUGUAUAUUAUUCUCGGAGAGCGAACCUUGCGAUUGUGAUGAGUGUUUAAACUCCAACUACUAUCAAGGCAAGUUCACGUUGAUCAUUUACCCAUUAUUUUAUUGUGCACUAGAUUUUAUUAGUUACAUUGUCAGGAUUAUUAUUGUAUCUAUGCUAGUUAUGAUCUGUCCUAGUAGUAUAGGAUACCUUUGCCAUGACUUCACCACCAAUUGCCAUCGUAGUAGUAAAAUGCUAUGCUAUGAUAAUAUACGAGGGUGGUAUUAUUACAAUGUGAUACUAUUGAAUUACAAAUAUAGUUUUCCUAGUGUAUGGCAAAACAAGUAAUUCAAUGAACCAUCCUGAGUGGGCUGCUUUGAGUAUUCGGAUGUCGUGACGUUAGGUCCAUUUCAAUGGGUCCCUCUGAGUCGAGUCUCCGUGGAUUCGGAGAUGGAUCGUCCAUGGACGUCUCUCCCGUGGAUUCGGGGAGCGCCUUCGUCACAAUGUGGGAUGCCACCCGGGAUAACCAGAGACUGGACUAGUUUCCUAUUUAGUAGCUUCCAGUACAACCACAUGGUAAUAUGGGCUCUGCCUGGAUGGAGUAAGAAAUGUUUACCCAGAUCCGAGGGAUUGUACUGAGGUAGUUGUGUAGGUAGGAGCGCGGGUCCCUCAGGUGGUUUGGGUGAACAUGUUCUGAAAAUUCUUGAAGUCGAUGCCGUUGCUACUCCACCCAGAGGACAGCAAGGGAUUAACACGUCGAAUUCUUGUGGGUAAAGUGUACCACCUCUCGAGAGUGUCAAACUAAGUACUUAGCCGUGUCCCCGGUUACGGACAAUUAUGAGCAACUGGAUAUUGGAGCUGUAAGGAAAGUUUCACUCAUUUUAAUUUCCUAAUAAAAUGAAUGGUUUGAACUGGGUAGGAGCAUUGAUGUUUCUACUCAAUGUGCCUAGGUUAAUAGGAGCAUGGGUGUUUCUACCCCAUGUCCAAUAGAAUUCAAAACUAUUUGUCUAAAAAUGAUAGGAUUUGAAUAAUGAUGCUUUUAUGCAAAAUAACCAAACCCCACCUAGCCAAACUAUGCAUGUACUUGGUAGGUCCUUUAUAACUCUGAGCUUGCCUAUACAUUCAAAUGUAUUGACCACGUAGUGGCUGCAAUUAAUAAUGCAGGUGAAACUGACGAAGAGUGAGGUUCGUCGAUAUUUCUCUGGGUCAUGUGCUUACAUUCUAACAUGCUCUCUCCUCUGGGAGUAGAUGAGGCCCUUUUUCUCUACUUUUCCGCUGCAGCUUCGUGAUACUUUGUUAUCAUGAUUUUGAACAUUAUUUGUUUAUGCUGGCCUAGGAGGUCAUGCAAGUUUGUAAGUACAAUUUAAGUUCUGUAUGAUACGAUGUAAUAAAGUACUUUUGACCAUUGUAUCUUGGUAUUACAUCUUGAACUGUGUGUGCUAGUGAGUCGAUCCAGGGACUAGCACAGGUAAGCACAGAGAUCGAACCCUUGGUGAAGAGGGAUCGCUUCACCAAUUGAGGAUAAAACCUUUUGCAAAUUCCAUCAAUGUUGCAUACGAGAGCACUUUGGGUAUUUGAUAUGCAAUAAAUUGCCUAUUUGCAUAUAUGGGAUUAAUGGAUCAUGAACAUGAUUUGUAGAUCCCACACUGUAUGCUACUUCUCAAAUUGCUCUCAUUUGCGCUAAAGAGGUUUUUAAGCACUUGCAAUAAACUCAAAGUUUGCAAACAUUUUUCAUGCCAUGAUGCAACCUACACAAGGUUGAACAAUUUCCAUACAUGCAUGAAUUUAAAUACCUGUUACCGAUAUAGCAUUGGUAAGAUGUAUAGUAGAUCAAAUAAUCAUAUAUAGCUUGGCUUCCAAGUUGCACAUGGUGUCAUCUCCUUCCACAUGUAUGAGCCAAGCAUCCAAUGCAUCUCCAAUGUACCUACAACUCAUUUAAGUACAUUUGGUCCCCAAACUCAUUGGGUCCGAAGUAGUUAGAAUCAACUACAAUACAUAGGACAAACUCCACUUGAAUAUGUACAUGUCUAUAUGAACUAGAAUUUCAUGCACAUCUUAGGCCCUGUUUGUUUGGACUUCUGCUUCAGCUUUUGGUGCUUUUAGCAAUUUCAAAAGCACUUCUCCUGAGAAACACAUUCGGAGGUGUUUCUCAGCUUCAUGUGUAAACGGGAGAAGUGUAUCUGAGAAGCACGUUCGGAGGUGCUUCUCAGCUUCAUGUGUAACCAGAAGAAGUGCUUUUGAGAUUGCUAGAAGCGCUAAAGCAGAAGCCCAAACAAAUAGGGCAUUAGGCAUUAAGUAUGAAGGAGUUUCCCCUAUAUAUUGGAUCAAAGAAAGCAAGCAAUCCGUGAUAAUAAACAUAAAGUACAUAUGCACAAGGCUUCCAAAAUCCAAAAGGAGACACAAUUUGGAUAACAACAAAAGAAUCACAAACAUGUGGCAAAUAAAAUAUGGUGUUCAAAUUAUAUCCAAGAACCAAAUCAACACAUGAUAGAUCUCAAAGUUCAACAUAUGAACUAAGCAAACUAAUGAGCAUAAUAGGUAUAGAUUGCAUACAUGCUCAUAGCCAUAUCUCAUUCAAGAAGAUAAUAAAGAAUUAUACAAGCAAUGAGAUAACAAACUCCCAAAAGCGCAAGGUUUCCUAAAACGACCAAAAUAAGCUCAUACACUUUUCACGAUGGCACCAAGUACCAAAAGAAAAGGUUUGUCUUCCCCCUCAAUACACAAUUGGAAUGAAUCAAAAAGAAAAGAACUCAAAAAGAUCCACAAGAAAGCAAGGAAGACACGGGAGUCAAAAAACAUUUUCUUGGCAAGAGAUAAGAUAACAUGAAACAAAAGCCAAGGUGAAGAUGAUCAACAAAUUCUACCACACAAAGGAAUACCAAAUGUAAAAGAACAACUUGGUAUUUGGAAUAUCACUCAUUGGUAGAUUGCAAACAUAUGCAAGAUCAACUUCACUAUAAAAAGCAUAUCAAAAGAUAUGAGAGUUAAGCACAAUGCUUGGAUAGAGAUUCUUGAGAUUCCAGUUAGUCAAAAGAUCAUUGAUAGAAACAAUUUGAAUAACAUGAAGCAAGCGGUUUCCCAAAUAAAAUGUUGAGAUAAACAUGGACGAAAAACCACAUCAAGAAAUAUCUCUCAAACAAAAUCCAAAUGAAGAACAAUAGACUAGUAUAUAAAAAUGGAGUUUGUUUGAACUUUGCAUGCCACAAAGAUACAAGAUAAUCUCUAAUAUCAAUACUAAGUGACAUUCCUCAAAUGUUCACAUUUUCUAGGCUUGUGAUGUGCACAAAGCAUAUCACUCCCCCAUAAUGUGAUAAAUCAUUUAUUUUCCACAAGAGGCAAAUAAAAUUCAACAAGAAACAAUUGAUGGACACAAUGAUAAUUUGAAUUUCAUAUGAGCUUGACAUACCACAUAGAGACUAGAUAAUUUUGAAAUAUCAAUACUAAGUGGUAUUUCUCAUGUAUCACAUUUUAGGAUUGUGAAGUGCCAAAGGCUUAUCACUCCCUCAUAAUAUGAUGAUCCAUUAAUUUCUCAUAAGAGCCGAAUAAGAUACAAAUAAGAUGCAAUAAAGGCUCAACACAACAAACACAAGUAUAUGAUGUGCAAUGCAACCCUACACAUGCAAGAUUACUCAAGCUAAGCAAGGUAAGAGGCACAACAUAUACAUACACAUGAUAGGUACAAAACCUAAACAUGCAAAUGGGUCUAGCAACUUUCAAUGUAAGCGAUACAAAAAGAAGUUACCGCAAGGAGGAGCAUUGGUUUAAUAGUAUGAUGAUAAUCCACAUGACUUGGCUUGAUCUCCAAAAGAUAUGAAGAUCAUUUCUCUCCAUGUUCAUGUCAAGUCUCCAAUGACCUCCACAACACCUAUUGAUCAAGUUUGAGCUUGAUGAUCCCCAACCAAGUUGGGACCUAAGAAGUUAGUCACAAUAGGCUUGGCAACCCAAAUGGUCUUUUUCACUUCCAAACCACUUUGGGCACCAACAAACUUGGCAAACACAUUACCAACCUUAUCCUUCCUAAGAGAAUAAUCAUUAAGUACAAUUGGAGGAUAAGAAGUGUUACCCUUGGGACAAGAUUUGGCUAUAUGUCCCUUCUCACGGCAUAUAUAGCAACAUGUGCUCCUCUUUCUCUUCUUCUUUAUUUUCUCAACUUGGAGAGCAAUAACUUGAUUUUUCAUGGGUAGUGGCCUUUCUUCAAAUUGAGGUUGUACUUGAGUUUGAACUUGAGGCCGGUUCCCUUGUUGCUUCUCAUUUAGUGACUUCUUCAAUGGACAAUCUCUAACAUAGUGUCCUUCUUUAUUGCACUUGAAGCAAAUGAUGUUGGCCAAAUUCUUCAUUUUAUCUUGGCCCUUCUUUUUCUUCUUAUUGUUAUUGCUCUUGGACUUCUUCUUACUGGAGUUGAAUCCAAAUCCACUCUUGUCAUCAGGUGAUUUUUGCAUAUCCAACAUAUUGUUGAGUGUGGAUUUCCCAUCAUGUCAUCUUUCCAAGUCUUUCUUCAAAUUAGUGACUUGAGCCUUGAGCUCUUUGUUUUCCUCUACAAGGUUAGUAUCAACAAAAGAACUAGAGGAGCUAGAAGCUUCAUUGUUAGAGCAACAAGGCAUGGAAAGCAAUUCAUCACAAGAUGUAGCAACAUUAAUAUGUUUAGAUGAAUUACUAGGACUAGCACAAGUCAAUGAAGCAUGUGAUAUAGAAGUAGUGCUAAUGUCCACAUGAGGGUCACAAGAUGUUACCUUUGUCAUAAUAGCCUCAUGAGCUAACUUUAGCCUACCAUGAAAGAUUAGAAGAUUAUCAUGAGAGCUCAAGAUCUUUUUAUUGAUUUCUUCCAAUUUCCCAUAAUUGCUAGUUAGCACCUCAAGUUGAGCUCUUAGCUCAACAUUCUCCUUUUGAGUUAGAUACUUCACAAGAAAUAAAGUUAGUAGCACAAGCAUCAUUACUUUGAUUAGACAAGCUAAGAGAAUCAUUUCUAAUCCUUUCUUUGUGGAGCUUCUUCUCGAGGAGUUUAACUCCCCUUUUCUCCUCAUCAAUAAUGGAUUCCAUUUCCUCAAUGGUCUCACCAUGUUCAUUAAUGAAAUCCAUGAGAAAUUUGAAUUUAUAGAGUGGUCAUGAAUCUAAUCAUAUCAUCAAAGGUGGCUUUCGUCUCAUCAUCACUAUCAUCAUCAUUAUUACAAUCACUAUCAAUAGAUAUAUCAGGAUUAUUAGUGAAGUAAUGAGGACUCGAAGUGUGAGUUACUUUUGACUCCCUAGCCAUGAGGCACAUGAGAGAAUCGGAAGAUGAUAAAGGUUCUUUUAGAGAAGAUGAUUCUUCAUUGAUAAUGCGUGACAUCUUUUUCUUGAUUUCCUCUACAUGGUUAGGCAUACAAGAACUAGAGGAAAUAUAAGAAUUUUGAUCAUAGCAACAAGGAGUAGCAAGCAUAUCAUCACAAAACUUAUUCAAGCAAUUUCUAGAUGAUAUGCAUGAACUAUCAACAAAAGAAUUUAUGACAUCUUCGGUGCUAGAUAUAUUGAAGUCCAAGAAAAAAACACUACAAGCAUUGGUAGCAUAAGAAUCAUCGCUUUUAAGACAAAAUCAUCAUCACAUAUGAUUUGUCCACUCACCAUGUCAUUACCUUGUAAUAAGCAACAUGUUGGUGAAGUAGAUGGGGUUGUGAUGUCCAAGCACUCGGAGGUGGAUGCAAUUGGAAGCUCCUCAUGAUAUGAAGAAGUAGAGAGCUCCUCAAUUGAUUCCUCCAAAUGAAUAUUAUCCUCAUGAAGAUUGCACCCACCAAAUGUCUCUUCAAGUUUGGUCCACUCCUGAUGAGCCGUCUUACAAUGGUUGAUUGACAAGAAUACUUCAAAAGUUAUAGCUCGGUCAAUGGCAAGCUUAGCUUCAAUGUCAACAUUCCAAUCAUCCCAAGAGGAAGAACCUACAAUGUGAGAUCGAGAUAGGCAAUCAGAGGGGGGGUGAAUGAUUGCGCGGAAGCAAAUUAAAACUUUUUCCGAAAGUUCAAACCCUAAAUCACCUUUCUGUCCGUGAUAGUAAAACAGCCGUAACUUUUGAUUGGAUGAACCAAAAAAUACGUAUGAGUAUGGAAAAGAAAGGUAUUAAAAUUAUCUAACCAACGCAACAAGAAUCAGUUCAAUCGGACUUACCAAUCAAAAGAUAUGAUCAAAAUAGUAACAGCUGACAGAAAGUUACGAGGAUUAAUCUAAAACCAAUUUCGAGUAAUAACAAAAAAGAUGAAUUAAUCGCAAUCUUCUCUUGAUCUCGUGAUAAACCUGCAGCAAAGUAUUAUGAACUUGUGAUGAACCUGCACCACAGUAUUAGAAAGAUCUAGCACGAAGAUUUCACGAAGAUCCGAAAAGAACAGAGAUGACACCGCCAACGAAUCUCUUUAUUGCAACGAUGUCGAUCGAUUACAAAAGAUGCAACCAUGCAUCGAAGAACUCUCCAAGAAUUGAUCUAGAUCUAAGGAUUUGAGUUCCCUCACGUCCUUGCUAAAACCCUAGCUAGGAUGCCCUCUAUUUAUAAGGAAAAAUUCGCAACCCUAAACCGAAUCCGAAUCCAACACGGACUCCUCUGUCUCGGUCAGUAUUUUGCCCGUGGGUCCCGCAUACGACCUCGGAUUGAGAUGACUCCAAAAGAAAAGUUGUUCGUCUCGACGACGCGCACAAUUUUCAUGUGGAUCACUUUUCCAUCCGACGCCAUCUUGAUGAUGCUACUGUUUAAUCUUUAAACAGCUCUCAUCCAGCCACGGCUGGACCUACAUAUCUUCACCUCGAUGUCACUUCAUGCCAUCAACUCUUCUUGUGAUGUCUUCAAAACUCGACCAUCACGUAUCGAAUAUCUCCAAUACCGUACAUCUCCGGUAUAAACAACAUACGACAAACCGGUGCCCUUUCGGAUCAUCGUAGCCUUCACUUCCAUUGUUCCUUCGCACAAACGUCCCGCAUGACCUUGAUCCUCGAUCUCAGCUUCUCCCAAGCUUCGUCCCUCGAUCCCGUCAUCGACCACGUUCCUCUAGCUCCGGCAACACCUGAAAGCGAACACACAAAUAACCAGUACGAGCACAAGUCCACGACUUGACUCAGGGUAAGUUCCACCCAACUCACGCCAUGUUAUCACAUAAGAAACUAAUGGAUCAGCACACCACUAGCAAAGCACUAAGUCCAAACAAGAUACAUGUCAUCACUUAAAUAUUCAUAUUAUCCAAAGUAUCCACAUCAAUGUUUCAUCUAAAACACUUGCCAAUGUUACACAUCACAUAUGAUUUCACAUACAACAACAACUCGCAUAGUAUUUGGACCCAUGGCCCUAAAUUUACAAAGCAUGCGACUUUUCCACAAGUGAUAAUUUGUGCCAUCUAAACGAAAAGUGUCAUCGUGCACUAUACCACUAGUCAACAUCUUUACUCUCAAGGCGGUUAAGCCUAAGCAAGAGAGACCUUUGAAAGAUCAGUAUGGUCAACUAGAGGAGGGGUUGAAUAGGCGACUAACAAGUUUUACUUUUUCUUUUCACUUUUAUGGGAUACAAGCAUCAAUACAUGGGUUCACUAAAACGUCUAAAUGAUGAACACCCCUAGUAUGAUGCAAUAACCGAAGCACGAGCACAAGCAAUAAGUAAUCAAUUGAAACUUGCUUGAUAGCCGAAGCACAUGAUAAACAAUUAAGCUUUGCAAGUAAGUAAAGGGGCAAGAAUGAUACCACACGGGGAGACGAAGAUUUCACCGGAGUUCCACCUAUUGGGGUCGGUGUACGUCUCCGUUUGGAGGAAUGCUCUACCACAAAGGUAGAGGCGCCACAAAGGAUCACUCUAUUCUCCAACUCACCACACCACAAAGGUGGGAUGAGCUCUCACAACACCACAAAGGUGAGGUGAGUUCCACUAGUGGCUUCCUUGAGGGCGAACGCCGAACCCUUACAAACAAAGAGAAGGGCACGACUUCACAACUUAAUUGGAGGCUCCUUCCCGAAUCCUCAAGCACCUCCUCACAAGAUUGAAGGCCUUGAAGAGACACAUUCCGGCUAGGGAUCCCAAAAUCUCAAGAGUAACAAAGUCCACAAAGGAAACAAGGGGAAUCAACAUUUUGCUUUGGUGAAACCCUAGAUCUAGAUCUCCUCCUCCAAUCCUCAAAGAAUCAACAAGGGGGGAGCUCUAUGGAGGGAGAUAUAGCACUUUGAAGCUUUAGAAAUGGUGUGGAGAGAGUUGGGCUUCAGAUAAGUUCAUCCCGAGGUAGGGGAUGACUAUUUAUGGGGGUCCCGAAAUCUAACCAUUAUGCACUAAGUCUGGCAGGGGAGGAAGUUCCGGUCAUACCCCGGAAGUUCCGGUAACCCGGAACUUCCGUCCUUGUUCCGGUCCAACCUCCGCCAAACACAAAUGAAUUCCAGUAGCAUCACGAGGUAGGCCGGACUUUGGGUGGAAGUUCCUCCCUACCGGAGAUAGGCCGGAAGUUCCGGGCCUGGAACAGACCUGGCAACACAGUUAGACUUUGGGUGGCUCUCUCUCGCACGGGUAGCCUUUAUGUGGGUGCAAAUAUGAUAGUUUGUGUAGGUGAAGUUGAUUCACCCACUACCUUCCCCUGUGGACUCCCUCUUAAUAGUACGGAGUUCCUACGACUCAAUAUAAAUAAAAAGCCACUAAACACCGGUACGCUUCUUUCCUUUUUGAGGGCAACGAACCGUCUUGUGCCAUAUGAUCUCAAAUCUGAAACACUCGAGCACACGGUUAGUCCACGAGUCAUGUUGUCAUUAACACCAAAACACUUAGGGAUCGAAAUGCUCUUUCAACCUUGCUCUGAUACCAAUUGAAAAGACCUCGAUGUCGCCUAGAGGGGGGGAGUGAAUAGGCGUUUUAAAACUUCUACGGAUUUGGCUUUAUAUAUAUCCUAAAUGUGGAAUUAAACUAGUCAGACAUUUUCAAGCACAAAUUAUAAAUAUGCUAGGCUUAACUAAGUGCACCCACAAUAAAAGCUAAAGCAAGAUGAGCACUUACUAAAGAACAACCUAGCACAAUAUAUAAGAUAGCACAAAGCACAUAUAAGAUAAUAUAUGACUUCAAGCAUGAUGGCUAUCACAAAUUAAAGCACAAGUGAAUGAACUCGGUUUAGGAAUACCCGAGGCACGCAGAGAUGAUGAUUUAUCCUGAUGUUCACUUCCUACGAAGCUAAUCACCGUUGGAGAGGUGCGGGCACCACAAGCCCGAAUAGCCGUGAAAGGGCACACCCAACUCCUUGAGCCUCCCACACCAAAGUAGGAACUCAAUCACUAAGAUGGCUAGCUUCUUCCUCCACUCCGGAGAUGGCAAGCUCCACAAACACUUCACAAAGCACCACAAAGGAGAACCUCGGGCCUCUUCACAAUCUCCAGGAAGAGGUCAUCGGGGCAACAACCACUAAGCCGUCUAGGAGGAGAACUUCCAAGAGUAACAACCUCACGAGCUCUCACUCGAACUAAUCAAGGUGGAGAGCUCAAACCAAUGCACCAAAUGCAAAGCAAGAACACAAGAAAUGCUCAAAUCCCUCUCUCCCAAAUCUCACCCAAAUCAACAAAUGGAUUGGAGAAAAUAGAGAGUAGGAACAAGGAGGAGAUCAACAAAUGAACUCUCCAAAUAGAUCUACAAACUCCCUUCAAAUGGAUGGAAGAUUUGGGGCUUGGGGGAGGUGGAGAAAGCUCUCAAAGAAUGGGGAUUUUCGGCUCUUGGAACCCUAAACCCGAUGGGGAAGAAGACCCCUAUUUAUAGGGCCCCCAAAAUCUACCCGUUAGACAUAGAUUUUGCGACCCAGAGGCAAUCCCGGAGGCUCCGAGAUUCAUUCCGGACCAAACCCGAAGCUACUGGACACACCCGGAGGCAAUCCCGCAGGUUUCGGAUUUAAAUCCGGGCUGCCCAAAACUGCAGCACAACACACACGAAAACGGCGAUAACUUUUGCAAACGAACUCUGAUUUUGAUGAACUUGGUCUCGUUUCGAAGAAGACAACGAGCUUUACAUUUUAACACAGAAAACCAGAAAAGAUGAACCAAAAGAGAUGAUGCAAGAUAUGCAAAGGUCUGAGCACUCUAUGCACGACAUGUUCAAGUUACUGCCCGAAAGACCCUCUUGAUAGAAUGGCUAUCAAACCUAUAAACCGGUCUCUCACCAAACUCCUUGAGACCGGUAAAACUAGGAAAACCUAGCUAAAUAUACCUUUGCCUUGAGCAAUCCACUUUAAGUUGAUCUUGACGUUCAUGCUUGUCUCACUUUGGAAUACUUCUUUUGAUCACGGUCACUUGGUGAAGAUUGUCAAUUUGCUCCCCCCAUACUCCAAUGUGGGAGACCAUUACUUUAAGCAAAUAUUCACAAGUACAUUACCAAAAAUUAGACGACAAGGUUCAAGCAUGUACUCUCUUUGUAUGCUCAUCUUGAACUUGCACAAUUCGACCUUGAUGACCGUCCUCCAUAUGGGCUAUAAAAGGUUGUUCCUUCAAAGUUCUCCCAUAUGUAUCACCUAACCCUCAACCAAGUAACAUAUACAUAAUAUGGGUUAGUCCACAAGUUCAAUAUACGAUUGCUUACCAUAUGCUUCAUGCAUAUAAUCCUCGAGGUGUUGUUCUUGAACUUGCUCUUCUCAACCUUCAGAAUAAUCACCACUUGAUGUCAUCUCUCAUGGGCUAUAUGAAAUCUUCCUUUUUGAUCCAAACCCAUGAGUUGCACCUAACCCACAUAUCGAUAUACCAAAUACAUAAUUUAUGGGUUAGUUCACAAAGGCAAUUGACAAAUGCUUACCAUACCACUAGAUCACACGCCGUACAUCACUUAUGCUUGUGUGCACUUCAUUUCGGUCAACCUUCAUACUUGCUUCACUUUCCAUCUUUAUGAUAGCUUGAAGCCAAUAAUGAACUCUUCACUUAACCUUCGUUGCUUCAAGACUUAAUCACCAAAUGCACUCUCAGGACCAUACAUGGGAUUCAGCAUGAAUAUCACUUUGGUCUUCUUUAUUCUCUCUAUCGCAAUAUCUUGAGACACAUAAUGGAUUCUUCACUUGAGUGCUUGCUCCAUAACUCGGUCAACCAUGACUCAACUCAUGAGCUCAACAUAACCUUAUCAUGAAACCAUAUGUUGAAUCCUUAUUUUGUAAUCAUUCUCUCAAGAUAUUAAUCCUUCACGGGAACUUCACUUUCUUCUUCUUGAUAAUAUUUGAUUCACUCAUUGAAAUCCAAUUCAUGCUUUCAAUUCAAUAUACUUUUCUUACUAGCAUUCCUUGAAUUAAAGCUCAAUGCAAACCACUUAUGCAAAAGGAUUGUCAUCGGAUACCAAAACCACACAUCCAAUUGUCAACAACUCAAUGUAUAUCUUUAUCUUCAUGACAUUUAUCAUUGAAUUAACCAAGUGGUCUUCCUUCAUUGCCUAUGAAACAUUCCUUCAAAUAUAUCUCAACUAAAACAUUAGUCCAUAGGGAUUGUCAUUAAUUACCAAAACCACACAUGGGGCAACAUGUACUUUCAAGUAGACUAGUAAGAGUUAUUGCUGCUGCACUGUGUAUGUUUCCAGAUACAGAAAAGUCAGAAACUCAGAAUUUGGAGGUUUUCAUGUUUGCAACCAUUUGCCUAGCUAUCCACUGCAGUUUGUUUUGUUGUCAAGACCGAUGAAGAUGUCAGUCAAUGUAUUCAUCUUCUAUUACCAUCUUAUAGUAAUCAGUUAAUAUCGGUAGUUAAUCUUAAUUAAGUGUCAAAGAAAGACUGGCUUCCAGAUCUGGAUGUGAAUCUCUUUUUUCCCCUUAAGUGGUCUGAAAUGCCAGCUCCAAUAUGAAUGGCGGCACAUUUCCAUUAUAUAGUACAUGCCAGUAUGCCACUGCCAAAUAAAGAAGUUUUACAUGCUAGGCUGCUGCAGAACAUGGAGAAUCCUUUUGGAAUUGCCACUUUUGUAAGGGAAGAAGAUUGCAUUACAGAGUGAGGAGAAGGCGGCAAGGUUGAUGCCACCAAAGACCUUACAGAGUGCAGAUGUGCUAGACCUAUAGUUUUGGAAAUGUGGCACCACAUCUAUCUAGCAAUGCAAGUGUGAAAAAGAGCAAGGCAUGCAGUGAGGCGCACAAGCAAUAUGAAAAGGGGGGAAGCGAGCGAAUGUUGGGGAGACAAGGAGAAGGCUAUGGUGGGAAUAUAGUGAAGAAGAAUGAGCGUCAAGAGGAAGAUCAAUUGGAGGUUCACACAAUAUGGUUUUACGGUUUAGUCACGAACACUGCACGUCAGAUGAUCCAUUCACUCUGUCCUACUCCCUCUGAUUCACAAUAAGUGUUUCGAUUUAGUACAACUUUGUACUAAAUUAGUACAAAAUCUGAGACACUUAUUAUGAAUCGGAGGGAUACAGAAGGUUGAUGUAAGGGCUCCAAUAGUCUCAGCCCGCAAUCGAUCGAAAGGGGUAGGUCCGCAUCGAAAUCCCCUUUUGUUUAUUAACCACCCUGGAACCCUGGUAAUAAACAUAGGGGGUGUCUUCUAUCAGAGGCUGACGCACACCGCCUCUCGCACCAACAUGCACACAUACACAUGCCAGCAAUCCCAUAAACGAGUGCUAAAUUGAUCCAUAACGUAGAUCAGAGAAUACAUGGUUUGUCCUAUGCGUCACAGACCAUGGAGCAUACCGUCUACGCCACUGAAUCCACAUGAUCAUAUGGAUCCCUGCCGAAAUCCGUCCCACCGCUGAUAGCGGAAAGCUUUCCAGAGCAAAGCGAUUCACCUCCCCGCCGCAAGAACUGCUCGCGGUCCAUGGGCAAAACCCUUGCCGGCAGCAUCCCGUCGAUUCAACCCGACGCUUGUGAACUUUCAAAGAAUCCCUGUAAGGUUAGGCCAAAUACCUAGUUUUUGGUCCCGUCCUUUUCGUCUUAUGCUUAGAUCCGUACGGCUUUCCGGCCGUCACAACCGUCCCCGGCACAGCAAUCUCGUCUUUUACUGCUCGGGUUAGCAUUGGCGUGUAGAGGUGCUAAUUUGGUAUGUUUUGUCGAAGGGUUGAAAGCACGUGCACAUAGCGUGCGGACAGCAUGUAGUGGUCCAACUCGCUGUUUCUAAGUUAAUUAGGUAUGAAUUGAAAUCGAUCUUGCAAAAGAGUCGAAGAAAAAACGCUCAAUAAAAACGAGAAAAUAGACAAAUUUUACAAGUUUCCUUUUAAUUAGAAGAUGAAUUCCGGACCACCGCUCCGCAACCGGUCUCCGACUCUCCGGUCUCCCCUCUGCUUUCUUUUUCAUCUAUCUCCAUCUUUUCCUUCGUGAGCCGCACCGAGCCCUCGUUCUGCCCCAUCUCGCUGCCGACCGCCCCAGCCCCCUCGCUCAUCUUCUUCCUCGAGCUAGCGCCGCCGCUGCCGGUGGAUCCCCCUUCGAUUCUCUCGCUCCCGACCGUUUCUCCUCCCAUCUCUCCCAGUUCCAUCUCCUAAACCUUCCCCGAUUUGUAACUGAGCCAAGAAUCGAGGUACGGCGGCCGCCCUACCUUGCCCUACUGCGUCCUCCGGCCCCUGCGUGCAGGUGUUCGGACAUGGCGGGGGAGGAUCCCGCGGAGGGAAGCCGGAGCAGGAGGCGGAUGGAUCUGAACCUGUACCUGGGCCUCCCUCCGUUGCCGCGGCCUCCAGGCCGGCUGGGUGCGGCUAUGGACUGUCCGGCGCCGGCGCCGGCGCAGCUGCCGGAUAUGCCGGUUGCUGAAGCUCCAAGAACGGGUGAGCCGGAGGAGGUACAGCCCGCGGUGUACUCGCCGUCCAACGCGCUCUCCAUGCCGGAGCUCUCCACUCCGGAGCUUUCGCUGAUAGAUCCCAUGAUCAUUGACUGGCUUGAUGGCCUCACUGCUGACGGUGAAGAAGCUCUUUCUGCUGGUGAGCCAGCUGCGGUGCUUGACGCCCUCUCAGGUGAUGCCAAUGUCUCCCAACCGGUGCCGGCGCCACUGCCGCCUACUCUUGCUGGGUUGGAAGGGGUUCGUCUUGAAUGGGUGGAAAGGCUUUCGCACCCUGCUGUGGUGCCUCCUGCCGUCCCAGGGGAGAUGAUCAGCACGACGCCCGGGCGUGGUGGCGGCACGUUUGAAGAGAUGACGCCUGAGCUCCGCCUGCAGAGGCUGAUCCAGGUGAGCGAACAGCACCGCAUCGGGACUCCGGGACCAGUGACCCGUAACCAGCGGGCAACCAGUCCAGGAGCGGAUAGACUGCUGCAGGCCAUCAAGCGGUCUCAUAACUCUCUAGGCACAUCAAAGGGUGCUGUCAACGAUGAGAUCUGCGAAUGCAACUCCAGUUUUGACUGCAAUAUCUGCUUAGAAGCAGCCAAAGAGCCAGUGGUUACGCCGUGCGGCCACCUCUUCUGCUGGCCAUGCUUGUACCAGUGGCUCCAUGGAUAUUCAGUCCACUCUGAGUGCCCUAUCUGCAAGGGAGAGGUGCUCGAAGUAAACGUCACACCCAUUUAUGGAAGAUCAGAUGAUGAACGGGGCGCCUCCAACAAUGACAUCCCUCCUAGGCCUCGUGCUAACAGAACUGAGAGCUUGAGGCAGCAGCUGCAAACGCAAGAUCCAAGAGGCAUCGCAAACAUGGUGAGGCGGUUGAUAGAAAAUCAGGAUACAGUGAGAGCCCAUUCUGCUGCACCUGCAGGCGGGGUUGAGGUGACUGUGCUUCCUGCAGCCCGGCCAAGGGCUAGGGUUCGGCGACAGCAAAGACAAGAUAAUCUUAAUUCACGUUCCCCAAUACUGGGGCAUCCGGGCAAUACAGCUUCGCCAACACUGCAGCACGGGAGCAAUGAUGCUCCUCAGGGUGGCAAUGAGGUUACAUUUUCCCCAGUAGUGCUGCAAGUGGGUAAUAUGGCUUCGCCAACACUGCAGCACGGGGGCAAUGAUGCCCCUCAGGGUGGCAAUCAGGUUACAUUGCCAUCUUCUAGUGCUGAUAAUGUUGCACUGGCAAUUCCUCAGCAAUCAUCAUCUAUGGAGCAGGCAUCGACUUCCAGCACCGUGGCUGUUAUAGUGGGGCAGGCAGCCCAAAGUAGGAGAUCGAGGCCUUCUGAGUACGCCAUAAGCACAAGGAGAACAAGGAGGAGGCAGCAGCAGCAGUAGGUAAAGGUGGUGCUGCCAUUUUCAGCAAUAAAACUUAGGGGUUCCCUAAAACUUAUAUAGAUUAUGCCCCAUUGUUACCAUGGUUGGCUCCCAAAACAUGUUGGGAUCUUAAUGUAGGUUUGUAUAUCAUGUUUGUUGUAUAUGCUAUCGCUCGCUCAUGUGUACUCUUUUCAUGGCAAAUGAGUUAAACUUCCGGUUUCAGCAUACUUUGCUGUGUUGUUAGUUCUUAGUGUGUAUGCUGGUAUAAAUUUUCUUGAUAUUGCAUCUGUUACCUAUAUAUAAAGUGGAUUACUAAGAGUUACCUCUGCGCUGUGUAUGGGUAUGCCAUUUUGUUUCCUGAUACUGAGAACUCAGAAUUCGGAGGUUGUCAGGUGAGCAUCUUUGCUGAGCUACAGUUUCUGUGUUGUCAGGUGAGCAUCAUUGCUGAGCUACAGUUUCUGUGUUGUCAGGUGAGCAUCUUUGCUGAGCUACAGUUUUUGUGUUGUCAAGACUAAAGACCAAUGAAGAUAGCAACCAAUGCACUGUCCUUCUAUUUUCCUCUUAUAGUGAUCAGUUCAUGUCAGUAGUUAAUCUACUAAUCUAGUGUCAAAGAAAGAUUGUCUCAUCCAGAUCUGGAUAAAUCUCUUUCUUAGAUUUCCAUGUACAUGCCACUGCCAAAUAAAGAAUUUUAUGUUAAGGCUGCUGCAGAACAAGAAUAAUCCUUUUGGAUUUGCCACUUUUGUAACGACAGGUGUAUUUUUUGCAGUGACAUGGGCUGAUGGGGGCAUCCACACUUUUGUGCCACUAGUAUAGCAAGCCACAACAGGUGUAUUUUUGCAGUGACAUGGGCUGAUGGGGGCAUCCACACUUUUGUGCCACUAGUAUAGCAAGCCACAAUUUUCGCAACGCCCAAAUUGGUUGCCACAAGUGUGGCGAAGUUAGCUAACAGCGAGUCCAUGAUAGAUGGGGUGAGGAUAAGAAAGUGUGGCACCCUACAACUGUGUCUGCAAUGUUUGGCCAAAUAUGACUACUAAGUACUAACCAAACAUGUCAUGGUAUAAGUAGAUAACACAUAAAUAGGAUGUUAUGUUUUUGUACUGGUAAUGGCAACAGUAGUCUACUUUUUCCCGAAAAUAGAAUAAGUCUAGUUUGAACCGAAUCUCACAUGGGGCAAUAUCAUCAUUUGCCGGGCCCUUCAUAUCUGAAGCCGGCCAUCCUUUUGUUGCAAAUGGAAAGACAAUCAGAUUGGUGCAAAUGGACGAAUGUCAUUUACAUUUCAGCUGUAUCAUUUGGUUGCCAGAACAUUUUACAGCAUAUUUCCCUCAUGAAACAUGAAGAUAAUGAUCGUGGGUUCCUUCGCAACCUCCAGAAGGAUCAUCAUUAACAUAUUGCUGGAUGUCAGGACGAUUGAAUGAAUUCGUCCAGUGUUUAAUGUAUCCAAUCAACUGCCAGAUGUUAGCAUGGACACUGUUGAACUGUAGAUUUGUGAUGUCUUUGCAUGGACGUUUUGUACAAGACAAAAUGUCAGGCUGCUGACUUGCAACUACCUUGCUGGAGGCAGAUCACCACCUUUUUCUUCAGCAUGGCUUCUGCAAAGAGAGUCAGCGACUGUUUCCUCAGUGGCACAAUAUGAAUCUAGACAGCAGUGAGCUACAGGGCACCAUCUCCGCGGGCCUGCAAAGACUCUUCCAUAAUAUGCUUGAAAUCUUUGUAUGAAUGCACGUUUUUUCAUUGUAAUAUGCUGACGAUUCCACUUGCUUGAGAUCUUUGUACUCCAGCUAAUGUAAUUUGCCUUGUGCCCUUUUACCCUAUUCUGAAACGAAAUGCACAUUUCUUGCGAGGUUUCCAGAAAACAAAACUCCAAGUUACAAUAGGGAUCAUGGUCUUCACCAAGAAUCAGUGACCUUGGUCAAUAUCCAUAUCAUGCAUGUUUUACCUUGCACAAAGUGCUUGGGAUAGCGGAAAAAAAGGUGUACUUCAUCAAUUAGAUCGCACACAUGCUGGGAUGGCCAUCUACCAUACCCACCAUAAAAUUGGUGAUUAGAUAAUCAUGUGCCAAAGAAAUGGUUCAAUUAGCACUGGUGUUUUCCAUUUCAUCCUGAUCCUUAGAAGGCCCAGUAGUCAGCUAUGUACAUACACAAUCAUGUCUUGUACUGUUCAAUCAGUCUCAGAAGGCUAUGUGUCUCGGCAUCAGGCAUUGCUCCUCUCAAAAUCAUCGUCCUCACAAAAUUUGGCUCAUAAACUUUUGCCUUAACAUAAGCUUUUAGAAGAGUAUUAUACACAAAGGAAUUCCUGCAGUACUUUGAUUCAUUCAGUUCCGCGUAAACUAUCUUUGCAUUUUCCAAGUCACCAAUUUCUGCAAAGUUCUCAAGCAACAUAUGCGUGGUCUCUAACCAUGGAGUUGAAUUUCUCACCUUUCUGGUGACGACUUCUUUUUUCCCCAUAUCCAUCGUGUUCAAAGCUUGUUUCACAAGGCCUGCUUUCAAGCAACCCAAUGCCAAGUGGCGAUAUGUAAUAGCAUUCGGUUGACAACCACUUGCUCUCAUUUCUUUGAACACUGCCGAUGCUUUAUCCACAACGCCAUGCCUGCAGUAAACUGAUAACAUGGAAUUGAACUGUUCUGUAAGCCUUAGCUUUCUUGCUGAUUUAAUCUCUCCCCAUAUCUCUUCUGCCUGUUCAAUGGAACCAAUCUUUCCAAAUGCCUCAAUUGCUAGUGUGAAGCUUUUGGAUCGAAUAUGAGGGAGGACUUGCAUGAGUUUCCAUGUCAUCUUUAGCUCCUUCUCCUUUCCAAGGUAUCCAUACAAGAUAAGAAGAAUUUCCUGCGUAGACCAGUUAGUACCUGUCAUAGAAUUCUUGAUGGCUUCUAUAUAUGUCUGGGAAACGGUAUAUAGCCUUGCUACAGCAUGUGAAAUUGCUAGAAUUCCGUAUGUGAUCUCAUUCGGCUCGACCUUUGCUCUUUUCAUAUCAUUGAACACCCUCGCCACUCCAUCAAUGUUGUGCUCAUUGGCCUGUAUUUUCAAUAAGAUGUUGUAGGUAGACGUGUGAGGGGUCACUUUACUGGCUUUCAUCUGAGCGAGGAUCUUGGGGAUAGUCUUCCUACGACCCUCAGAAGAAUGGAGGAUGAUCAGGCGGUUGUAAACAUACGGCGAAAUCGGAAGGGACAAUUCCCUCAUCUUCCUCAUGUAACCGUAUGAAAGCUUAAUCAAGCUUAACUCCAAACAAGCCAUUACAAGGUUGUUGUAGAGCAGCUCGUUCCGGUAUUCUUGAGGUAUGCGAAGGAAGAGGCUCUCGGCUUCAGAAAUACCAUGCACUUUAGCUGUGAACUCUAGGAGAUAUGAGUAAUCAAGCUCACUCAGCUUGUAGGGCCUCUCUCUUAUCACCCACUCCAUGACCUGUAGCAAGAAAAUUGCAAAAUCCUGUUACUUCCUGAACAAACAGAAGAAAGUAAAAAUAUAUCUAUGUUGAUUUAGUUGACAUCAUCCGUACAUAGUGAUGAGCUAAUUUCAUCAUAAUGUGCCGAGAAAUCAUGCCAUGAAAGAGAAGGAAUAAUUAACAGUCAUCUGGAGAAAAAAAUCAGAUCAUCUCUGCAUCUUUACACACAGACAAGCAGCACAAAAUGCAAGACGACUUUAACAUUUUUCAACACAUUCAUGCACAACAACGGCGAUCACUGGUCCAUAAGAAAAUGCAACAUCGUGCGGAGCCAAGGUGAUAUACCACUAAAAUCAACCAUGAAGGCAUGAACACGAACCAAAAGCUCAAGGGAUGCGAGUGGGAGAGGAAAGGGGGACCUGGAGGCCGGUGCGGUGGAGGCGGCGGCGGCGGAGGCGGUUGAUGGCGUGGAAGACGUGGCCGCGGUGCACGGCGCGGCCCGCGGCCAUCCAGCCUCGGAUGGCGGCGCACGCCGACGACGCCCGCUCCAGCCGCUGCGCCAGCGAGCCCUCCUGCUCCCGCUCGUCAGCGGGCUCCGCCGGCGGAGUAGGAGGAGGAGGAGCAGGCGCGAGGGGCGCGCUGCCUGAGUUGGUGAAGAAGGCGGCGGCUGACGCGAUCGGCGGCCGACGGCAGCGGAGCAGCAUGCGCAUCGGCGUCAACAUCGUCGCGGCAACUCGUCGAACAGCUGGUGUGCAGGAGGCCCCGAUACUCCCAGGCCGCCGCGGCCUCCCCACCGCAAAGUGCCGCAGGAAUAACGCCCGGCACUGCUCAGAGCUUCGAAUGGAUGAUCUCUGUUCCACGGCGGCUGGCUCCUCCGCCCGCGUCCAUGAGGGUCACCCGCGAGCUCAGUGUGCUGGGAGUUUACCGACGGAACCGAGAGCUUGCUCUUUGGUCCUCUUCGAUCCCGCUUGUGCAAUCGGGCGUGUGGGUUCGGAGCUCACAGUUCGGGUGCGUAACCCUCUGACCCUCUAUGUGUACAAGAGAACAAAAAAGCUUUUUUUGUUUCAACAAACAUCUCGUACAUCUCACAAAACGAUUUUUUUUACUCUUAAUUAAUACAGGGGUCCGUCUGGUGUGCAAUCAGGCAAGCGGUGCAAUCCUGCAAUCAAAUUAACACUCCCCGUCCGAUACAUAAACUACGGCCCAGAAAUCGGUUGGGUUACUCCCACGAUCUGACGCAUCCAUGUAAAUCAGACUUUUGCAAAGAACCUUCGCGGAACGUGUUGAUGUUGCGCAGAAUUCCUCGUCUUCGACCGUCUUAAAUCGGCCAUCUCACAUCUUCUUCUCCGUGAUCCCUCUAGGGCUGCAUACAGCUGCCACCGGCCGAUGCUGCGCAAGAUUCUUCUCUGGUUGCCCGCUUAUCCGAGGUGAAGGGGAUCACCCCAGCCCCCACACCCCCACAAAGGCAUUGCGAGCAUACUCUUGAUACAAAAUCAAUUGCAUUUGUAGGCAGUGAUUCCUGUUGCAUUUGGGGAUUUGUUUUCUUUGCUCAACCGUUGACAACUCAGGAACUUUAUUCUCCAGUUUGUUUUACUUUUUCAAGUACCAAUUGCAGCUUUGACCAAACAGCGACCUGACAAGAACGAACUAAUUACAGAGAACAAAUUGAUGCGUCCUCCCUUCGAUCCUCUACAACUUAGAAACGCAAGCGGUUUGCACGAUGGUGUCUCAGACCAUGUUGCACAUCGAGUUAUGAACGGGGAUUAGGGAAUUGAAUUGAAGUUUCCCACACGGUUGGAGAUGUGGAAGACAAAGGAUAGGGGAUGGAGCGACGAGGAGAGGGGGAACAGGUAGGCCGUCGACUCCUAAGAAACGCACAGUUGAUGUUGCUCCAUGCAGAGAGGGAGAAGGAGAUAGAUCGAUCAAGGCGAGAUAGGAUCAGACGGGAAAGAAGCUGGUUUGGGGAUGGUCAAGGCCUCAAGGGGGUGGGGUUCUGCACAGCAUUAGCCGAGAAUGCGAGGCGUGUUUCGCAAAACUCAACUUGGCGAUGGGAGUUCCGGGAUUUGUUCCAGGCUGCAGAUCGCCUGUCGGAUGGAUCGUGCUAAUUUGAUUGCACGAUUGCACAACUUGACUGAUUGCAUCCCAUACGAAACCUUAAUACAGUUACUCGUUUGAGUGUUUUUUUUGGGUGCGGAACACAACACAAGUAAUCAUUUCUUGCACUGUUCUGAUGAUUUGAUUUUCAUAAUUCUUUUGAAAACUUGAAGUGGCUUAAAUAAGAGCAGAAGGUAGUUCAACGUAGACAUCAGUCAUCCUACGAUCACGCUCAGUCACUCACACUCAAGCAUACAUGCUUACAUGAGGUCUCCAGUUUCGAACACGACGCAGAUUAGUGCUACCUACACCUAGGGUAGAAAAAGUUCAACCACAGGACAAUUACAUUUAGUAGAUAAGUACUCCCUCCCUCCGAUACAUAAAAAGUGUCGUCCCCUUAGUACAAAAUUUGACAAACUUCGUACAAAAUGGACGGACACUUUUUAUGAACCAGAGUAGCAGUACGUAGCAGAGUAUUUGAUCAAAUUUGUCAUAAUAGUUCAAGGGCAAGCAAACAUCACUGCCCCUCAUACACUACAACAAAAGGACCGAAAUAAAGAACUUGUAGCUGCCGCUAUUUGGUAGCCGACGGAAGUGCUUGAACGAUGUGCCGGGGAUUGGACAUAUUUUGGUAUUCUUCUUCUUGACCACGCUAGGAACACAUUGCUGCAGAAUUUCGUUCAGCAGUAACAUUCAGAAACAAACAUGUGCAGGUACACCCAUUUUCUUUCCCUAGCUACAGAAAAUAUUUUCGCUAGAAACUUACUACUCCCUCCUGUUGGAAUUACUUGCCAUUACAUGUAUCUAGACGCUUUUUAAACAUAGAUACAUCCAUGUUUAGGCAAAUUUGAGACAAGUAAUAUGAAUCGGAGGGAGUACUACGAAAUAGUGAUGACUGGCAUGGGAACUAACAAGAAACUAAGCAAGACGAAAUAUAUGCACACACACACAUGGAGCUUUAACCAUUUACAAACUCAGCAGUCAGCAUCCGUUAGAUCUUGGUAUCAGAAAAUUCAUACCUGAGAGGCGUCUGAAGAUGAAAUACAUUACGUGAUCGAGAAAAUUCCAAUCCAAAUUCUUCUCCGACUUCUAAUGUGAUGUAGUUUGAUUGAGAUAUGGAAAUAUUAGAGCCAGAUCAGUAACGAGUAGAAACCAGAUACUCUCACGAUGUACUUGCCAAGUACUGUUGCUCAUACUGGCAGUGAGGCACCUCUUUUGGCACAACUAAGUGGACAUGCCAAUCUCCUGGUUCAUCUUACUGACGUUGCAGUGAAUACCUUCUCCAGAUAUAGUUCCUGAAGGGGGGGAAAACUGCAUUACAAGACAGCAAGCUAAGGGUCAAUAGCCUGUCAAAAUCAUCAAUUAUUCAAUUUAAUUAGUGAGAUGUAGUUUUUUUUAUAAACAACCUUGUGGUGUGUAAUAUUAGUUUUACAAUUUGUUAACAGAUGUUGCAUACAAUCAGAACGAAUAGAAAUAGUUUACUGUUUGACUAUAUAAAAAGGCUAUGUGCCGAACACUUGACAAAAGCUGGCGUAUUACACUAUGGAAAGUAACUUUUGAAGAUAUCCACAGUUCGCAAUGAACAGCUCUCCAUGUAAAGGGCAAGUUAGUGUCAAUUAUCUAAGGCAGAUAGCUAGUGCACAACCGCGAAGGACAUUGAAAAAGAUAGAGUUCUCCGGUGCAAAUUACUUUGAAAUACGGACCGAUCAUGAACUUACUUUGAAAUGAUCAAAAUUUCUCAGGUACCAAGAUGAAUGCAUCAAGCCACCCAAGCAGGAGCCAGCAGAAUCAACUGAAUCCAUUAUCUGCACCUACAAGGAUAAGUCAGGAAAGAUGAAGGUGAACAACUGAACAAAGGAGGAAUCAACCACCCUAUAACAUGAAGAGUUUUAUAUUGAGUUACUGACUGACCCAAUUCAUCAAAAUGAGCAAGAUCAAUACAGAAUGAAUUUAUGCAGCCUGCACCCAACUACUCCCAGGCAUCUUACUCAAGCCCAUUUCCAUCAUUGUCUUCCUUAAACUCUUAACCUUGUCCCAUUUGUUUGCUUGUGCAUAUAUGUUACCCAACAGUAUGUAAUAUCCACUCUCUCCAGGUGCCAAUUCAAAGCACUUGGAAGCAACCAUUUCCCCAAGCUCAACAUUGGUGUGCAACCGGCAAGCAAGAAGCAAAGCACCCCAAACACUAGCAUGUGGCUGCAUCGGCAUCUUCAUGAUCAGCUGAAACGCCUCGUCCAACUUUCCGCUGCGCCCAAGAAGAUCUACCAUGAUGGUGUAGUGUUCCAUGGAAGGUCUAAUAUUAUACUUGCUUGACAUGAAAGCAAAACAAGCUCGAGCUUCUUCCAUUAGCCCAGCAUGGUUGUAUGCAGACAGCAAUCCCACAAAGGUGACUGCAUUUGGGACAAUCUUUGCAUCGGACAUCUCCUUGAACAGACCAAUAGCUUCGCUUAACUUGCCAUUCAUCCCACAGCCCACAAUCAUUGCACUAUAAGACACCACAUCCCUUGUCCUCAAGCCUCUGAACAAUUUAAAGGCAUUAUCAAUCCGGCCACUCUUGGUGUACAGAUCUACAAGAGCGGUGCGCAGGUGAUCAUCGAGUUCAAUUCCCAAGGAACACAUGAAGCUCUCGACCCACAGCCCAAACCUCAGGUUCCCCAGCUGUGAGCAAGCCGAGAUGACAGACGAAAAAGUCUUCUCAUUGGGCAGCACACAGAUAUGAGGCUUGAGCAUCCGGAUGAAAACAGAAAUAGCCUCCCGUGCGCAACCAUUCUGCCCGUAGCACGCAAUCAUCGCGUUCCACGCAUAAAGGUCGUUCUGGUUCUCCAUCCGUUCGAACAGGCUGGCAGCAGCUUGGACGUCACCAGCCUUGGCAUACCCGGAGAUCAUCGUGAUCCAGGAGACAUUGCUCCUGACGGGCAUCUGCUCGAACCACUCCCUCGCUCGGGCAAGGUGGCCAUGGGCGAUGAGCCCGCACAUGACAGCGUUCCAGGACGCGGCGUUCCGCUCGGGCAUCUGGUGGAAGAGCUCGAUGGCGCAGUCGAGCCGGCCGGCCUUGGCGAGGCCAGCAACCAUGGAGUUCCAGGACACGACGUCCCUUACGGGCAUCUGGUCAAACAGAGCGCGCGCGGCGGGGAGGUCACCGGAGCGGAGGAGGGAGGCGAGGAGCGAGUUGCGGGAGACGAGGAGGGAGUGCGCCGACCGUGCCCCCGCGGGAGGCGUUUCGUCGAGCAGGCUGCGCGCGGCGUCCGGGUGGUCGCGGGAGUAGAGGUGGGCGAGCGCGGCGUGCGGGUACGGGUGCGCCAGGAGGCCGAGGCGGAGGAGGUGGGCGUGGAAGGAGGCGGCGGCCAAGGCGUGGGCGGGAAGGCGGGAUACGGACUUGAGGACGGCGGCGAGGGCGAAGGGGCAGGAGCGGUGGGCGGCGGCGUCGGAGCGGAAGGACGAGACGUAGAGCGCGAUCGCCCGGCGAGGGCGGCCCUGGUCGGCGGCGGCGCGGAUGGCCAGCGUCAACGGCGAGUUGACGCAGGACGCGGCGGUAGACGUCGGCAUUGGCCGGCUGGUGCCUCUGUCCUCGUCGGAGACUUAUGCUCCCGGCAGGGGAGAUAGCACAAACAUGCUUCGCUCCAGGUUGAUUGCUUUCCCGCACAAAUGGUACUGCCUUCCAACGUUCUUACUCCCUCUGUUUAAAAAAAUUGGCGUGGUUUUGAAAUAGGCUAUUUCAAAACCGUGCUAAUCUUUAUGAAACGGGGGAGUAAUUCUAAAUUAUUACCGCUGUUUUAGUUUAAAUUAGAAUCAGAGUGAGUAUUGUGCCAUUUUUUGUUCCUAGCAAAUUUGAAAAGGCAAAAACAAAGGAGAACCGUUUUUCAGUAUUACCUCGGAUACCGGAUAGUAUUAUUCUUGCGGAAGACCUUUUGCAUCACUGAAAACGGAUUCGACACAAAAUAUCUAAAAAAAAAACUCAUGAAACAAAUAUGAGUAUUUCACAAUACAUUCUAGAAAAAUAAAUUGAAUAUGAAAACUCAAGGAAAACGAUGAAAUUUGGAGAAGUUAUAUCUGAAAUCUUGAAUGAAAUAACUGUUGGACAUUCUUGGCACUUAAGUUCUCAACUUAUAUUUAUUUAUUUUGUUACCCACUCCGUUUCAUAAAGAUUGGCACAGUUUUAAACUAAAGGUAAAUCAAAAAAUUCAAAAUCAUGCUAAUCUUUACGAAACGGAAGAAGUAACUACUAACCAAAGCUAAAGAUCUACUAUGAGUUUGUUAAGACUUUAUUGAAUGUGAAUAGUGGUGAGAAAGAAAUCAAAUGAAGCAGUCACGAAAAGACAGGGCUUAAAUAUGAUGAAACUUAGUGAGAAGGGAAGAAAGAUCAAUCAUUUGUACUCCCUCUGAUCGAUAAUAAGUGAGUUUGAUCCGAGGGAGUAUAUUUUUGGGAAACAUUGACGCGAGAUCCGACAAAAGAAUACAUCAACAAAGCUGGAAGUAAUAGUUGGUACAAACAAAACUAUCUUAACGAUCAUAAUGUAGUCCUCGGUGUCAAAUUUCACGCACGGCAAAGAUAAAACAAGGCAAAUCAAAUCAUUUCCGACCCAUGAACAUUACAACAACUUCAUCAAAUAAACCGAAUAUUUGAUCGAAUCCAUCAUCACAGGCCAAGUAAAUCCAGCAUGCCGACCACGUUUAACAGUUUACACUACAAAUAGCUGCCCCACCAAACAAAGGGGCAGAAACAAAGAACAGCUUCUUCUAAGGUACCACCACUAGCUCAGAGCAGGAAAGCUUUACAAACGAUGAGGAAAGAUGCCAGCCAUGUCAAGCAACACCAGGUGACGAGGUUAAGAUUUUUGGGGCCAAAAAUGAACCAAAAACUAGUUUAGACAAGUCAUCAUGAAUCGCCACCUGUCCUGCUGCUGAUGCCACAGGCAAGGGAGACGGUGGUACGGACUUGAUGCAUAUCACCUCACCUCACCUCAUGAAUCUAACUGUUUCUUCUUUCUCCCUAUCUCCUACGGUCCUACCAUUCUUUGGGCUAACGAAUUUAGGCGCUGCUGGUCCGAGUCACCUCGUCGGCUGAUCAGACGCCUGGUUGUUAGAUGCUGCCGGCGCUGAUGACAUUGACGGGUGGGCUCCGUUGUCCUGGGGAGGGGCAACUCCCCACUUUGUGUCCGUGUCCAAUGGCUCCACCACAUGAACUGCACCAUCGCUCAUGCCCACUGCUAUCUGAUUAGGCUCCAAGGGAUGUGCAGCGAUAACCAUCGGAUACACACUUCCGCCACUGUUGGAUAAGAAGAUGCAAAAUCAACAGUAAGUUCACCUGGAAUAUGACUAACAAAACACAAGUAUGAAAAGAAAAAUAAGAGCAGUGACUCAUGAGACUAGGCAUACCUAGGCAUUGAAGGAGGUAUAUAGGCAGAAAGUGCAAUCCUGCAACGUAACCUAAGAGACUCUGCUUCAAAUACUCCAAUAGCACCAUCGCAGAAUCCAGCGUAAAUCAGGAGACCAUCACAUGAGUAUAUUGCACUUGAAACUGGGGCCGGGAGUGCAUCUCUAGGGUACCACUGCAUUAUCAAGUAACAAAGGGAGAAAUCAAUAAGAUAAUCACACUGAUAAAUGUAGCGAUAACAAGCAGUGGUCUAAUGUAAACCUAAGAGGCUAAGACAUAAUUUGAAUACGGAAAGUAACGAGAUAUAAAGAAUUUUGGUGAUGACUAACCGAGCGUGAGCAUUCGAGCUUCCCAUCAUAGAUAGCCAAUUGACUCUCAUGAACUACCAAAACAUGUGUUUGGUCAUUGUGAAAUUGGACCCUUGUAUCGCCAACUAAAGCACCAGAAUGAUUUGCCGGUGGUUGGAUAUAUCUCGAUUUCUUCUUUUCCCAACCAUCAAUGCUCCAAACGCACAGCUGCAAAAUUUCCAUUCCAGAAAUGAAUGAAUCAAAUAUAAAAUGUAGUUGGAAGACCAAUCACAAAGAAGAUUUCAACAGAACAGACCAAUAGAUGGAUUGGCUUGUGUACUACGAAUUAAGCAAAUGUACGGAUAAAGAGAUUUAAACAUUUAAAAAAGAAUCCAAUGGAAUAAUGAUUCAUACCUGAGCAUCAGCACCUGAAGAUACAAGGACAUUCAUUGACUGAGAAAAUGCUAGUCCAGUAAUCUUUUUCUGAUGGCCCUUGAGCUUGCUUUUAACCUACGUAAUUUAAUUAAGGUGAGUAUACAUAUAUGCAUGUCUAUUGGAUCAUGAUUUGGUGCAAGAAAAAUAAACAUCAAGUCCAAGAAGCCCCCAAUUCUUUAAAAAUGCUAGUUGAUGAUUGCUGAGCAUUACACCUUGUAACCAUAAAAAAGAACAUGCAAAACUUCAUCUUUAAGUGUCUAAUAAGCUUCAAGCCUCAGAUACAUCAAAUAAGAUUGUCGGGAGCAAGAGGAGAUACAAAAUGUGAAAUAAGCAACACGUUAUUAAACAGGAAUACUCUACUUAGAGUGAGGAUCACAAGCUAAAAUAAAUUGUACACACCUCAUCAACACGGACAUUGUAAAUCUGAAUGGUUGAGUCCUCCAUUCCAAUAGCAAUGAUAUUAUUGUCUUGUGGGUGGAACGCGAGGAAAGUUGCAGCAGGUGGAGGUGCCAUGAACGUAGUCAUGACCUGUAAGAGAUUCCACACAUUUAAUCAGAAAUGUGGAGGAAGGCAGUGACAAACUUAGGUGGUUCUUGUUAUUUGAAGUUAUGAUCUAUCAGGAAGCUAUGUUUGCCAUUAAGCUGCAUACCAAAGAGAGACGGGGAAUCAAACUACACAACUUGCUGUGCUAUAUGCUCAAGAAGCAUUACCUUGAAUGUCAUCAUGUUGAACAAUGAGACUUUGCCACCAGAUGCAGACAUUACAUAGGAGUCAUUUUUGGAUAAUGCAAUGCAGGCAGUUGCCUCUUCUGGGUUACCAUCACUGGUGUCAUUUGUCAUUAGAAUCCCAUUUGGCGGUUGCCACAGAUGAGGCGAAAUAGAUGCGGUAGACUAUCAAAAGAUUGUGAAGACAAUUCAGAACACAAGCAAAAUAACAUUGCAAAUGAAAUCCAAAUAGGUGCAGUUCUUCAGUUUAACCUUGCCAGUAGGAUUCCUGUCACUGCGUUGCCACUUCCACAGCUUGUGACCAGCAUUGGAGCAGAGAGACAAUAGUGCAAUCCCAUUAUUUGUGUAUAGCAAACGGACAACCUGUGAAACAAACAAAUAAUUGCCUCACUCAGAAAUUUUACAUUGCCAGGAGCACAAAACAUAAUUGCUUGCCUACUGCUGAACUGCUUAUUGUUCACAAAAACAGACAAACAUUGUCCUGAACAACAGGUCAAACAUUGACCUUUCUGAAAAAACUAUGGGCAAAUUUAAACCUCCUCUCUACCUUUAAAAGAAAGAUAAGAUCGUAUGUUUAAGUUGAUAUUGCAUAGUAUUUACUACUCAAUAAUGAGUUAAUCACAUCCAGAUAUCAAAAUAAAAACAGCAAAUGUUUAACGUACUUUGCUCGGAUUUGAUGCUGUAUCUGGACAACGCCGUGCCCGAAUAUGUCCUGAAUCAACAAUGUCGGACAACUUCCAGGUCUUCAUCUUUUCGGCUUCAUCUGUUAUUCUUGGUUUAACAUCCUGCGUUCUGCUAACAUCCAUAGGUGCCUGCGAAUUUGCUUGAAAAUUUAGCAAACCAACAUAUUGAAGAACAAGAAAGGCUGUGGAACUAACCAAUCCACUCAUUGAAACAGCAGGCAACAUCCUGUCAGGUCGUUCUGAGUUCACUGCUAUAGGACUAGAUACAUUUGAAGCAGAACCAAGGGUGUUGAUCAAUGGGGGCUGCAUUAAAAGUGGAAUUAUAUGUAGUUAGAUAGAUCAGUUGUCCCAAAAUCCUUCAUUGGAACCCAUCUUCAGUGCAUCUCACGGAUACACCAGAUGCCAAUGUUAUUUAGACAACACGCAGCAAUUAUAUGCUCAAAUAAAAAUCUCAAUUGGGAGCAAAGGAAAAACAAAUACCAGAAAACAAGCUAAAGAAGACUCUAUGUAAUAUUAAUAAUCGAAUCGACCAAUACUGAUAAGUAGAUGCCUAUCAUUACCUUGGUAUUAAUUUGUUGAGGUCCACGAGAGCCUUCAAAAGCUCUGCUCUCCAGCAUCCUCAGCAAACGCUGCCCAUCAGUGUUGGCUAAAAUUUUUAUUCCAUUAUCGUUUGCUGUCACAGCAAGCAAUGAGCCUUCUCUAUUGAAUCUCAAGCGAGGGCUUGCCUGCGCAUGUUAGUAAAAAGUCAUGUGAAAACCUUAAGUCGGUACAUGUUUAAUAGAAGCCACAGAAAAUAUACUCACAGGCAGUCCACCAUCACACUCUGCUGUUGUUAGUAUGUUGGUGUUAUCCAUAUCCCAGAAUUUAACAACAAAUUCAUCUCCAGCAGCCAAAAAGUGGUUCCUCGUUGUGUCAAACUGGACAACACCUAGUGAUCGCUUCCUGAAGCCAUUGUAUGUCCUCUUAAUAGCCCCUUCGGUCUCGUUCCACUCGACCAAGUGGGAAUCACCGUCUUUACUAGUUCCACAAGAGAAGAGCCUGCAAGAAAAAUUUAUAUUAAAUAAAUUAUAUGGGUUGGAAAAAAGUGAAGAAAAAUAUUAAAUUGGGACCUGAGAAAUCCAGAUGAUGAAAUGAUCUUUCAUCCCUUAAAAUGUUUACUUAAUUUGGAAAUAUCUGAUAGCCAUUCUAAUCUAUUUAACAGUUGAAGCUUCUCACCUUGUUCCAUCAGCGCUAUAAGACAUGGUAGUACACCAAUGUCCAGGAGCAUCAUAGUCGACCCGCGAGCCCAAACAGUCGUACAGCCAUGCCUUGAUUUUCCCAUCAAUGGCAGUAGAGAAGAUAAACUGCAAAUAAAGCAAAAGUUGUAGAAACCCAUAGAAUAGAUGAUGCUAAUCUAAUAAUUGAAGCUAUGGCAUAUCAAAAUUAAACCAACUGAACAUGAAACAAAUAAAAAUUGGUGGACAACGAUAAUAAGUGCAGUACCAGUACAAAAUGGAUACAGCAUAUCUCGAGUAUCAGAGUUGAAAUCAUCAGAAAGUACCUGAAUGUUCUCCUUGUAGUGAGGACAAACGGAAUAGACUGGAGCCUCAUGGCCUUCAAAUGUGUACUGCUUUUGUCCUGUUUGAGCAUCCCAUACCUGCAAAUGAAAUGUACAAGAAUGCUAACGAUGUUCUCUUUACAUUUAAGAACAGUAGCAUGUCAUAUGAAUAAUAAUCUCACCUUAAUGAGUUUGUCAUCACCACAUGUAAUAAUUGACAGGGUCUUGUUGGGGUGAGAAAAGGCAAUGUCAUUAACCCCACCAAUGUGAGCAUCAAUCUGUGCAAUUUACAAAAAAAGGCCAAAGAGUUAAGAUCCUUUAAGAGGGUGUUUGGAUGUGAAGGCUUAGUUUGGGUAUUAUGGAGACUUGAUAGUUCCCCAAGGGGGUGUAAGGAAAAAGUAUGUUGAUUUUUCAUUCUCGAUCCUUAUGAAUGUACCUCUGCCUGCUGCCUUAACUCUCCAUUCGGAACAAAUGUAUAUGUCUGAACAAUAUGCUUCGAAAAUGCCACACCUGAGAAUCAAAUUAAGCUUAUUGAAUCAUUCUUGCAGAUAAGCAGGAAAAUGAAAAGGAAUGGAACACUUCCAAUUACAAAGUACCACGCAAAUGCUGUCCUUUUUUAGAAAAAAUAGGCAUGACCAUAGAUGAAUAAUAAUAGCACUUAAGUGGUCCAUUUUUUAUACCUAGAAUAUUUCCAUCAGGGCUCCACAGACACCUAUUGACAGAUAUCGCAGCAUCUUUCAUUAGUGCAGCCUGGACACAUAAGAGCACAAAUUGGGCAUCAGAACAAACAAAUGACAAGGCAGAAUGCAGGUAAUUACAGCUUGCAGCACAAACAAAGAUGGUAAAAGCACAGAAUAAAAUAGACUGAGUUGAUCAAUGAACUAAGGACCUGCAGAGGCAAGGUGCAGGAGCUAAUAUCCCAAACUUUGAAUGUCUUGUGUGCUAUCCUCUCCCGUGAACCAACUUCCCAUAUCCCGAUGUCACCGACAUUCGUUCCAACUGUGUUACAUCAAAAACUUUAGCACAGCAGAAUAUGUACUGAUAAAGUAAUGAUUCAAGAACCGAGCGACAUGUUUGAAGCAUGUACCUAGAAGAAUGGUCUGCUGAACAGGAUGGAAAUCCAGGCUCAUAACAUUAGAACCCUGAUUAAGUGUGCGAACUACUUGUUUGGGGAGAUCUUCUUGACUAUAAGCAUUGGGAGGAUGGCUUGCACCGGAGAAUGACACCUAACAUAGUUUUUUUAUGUAUAGAAAUUAUUUCAUGAGACAAUGUUGCAGAAAUGAGUACAUAAGAGCAGAAACACAGGUAAGUCCAAGUUCACCCACGUACCUCAUCUGGUUGGCCCACACGCAUUCUUUUCAUCAGAUGUUCAGAAUCUGCCGAUUGGUAGUCAAUGCCAGGCGCACUUGUGGGUGUUCUUGGAUGUUUCAGAAAUGCAGCUGCAAACAAAUAGAGCAUCCAAAUGAAAAAUCAAAUAACGUUGCAAUAGUGAUAUCCGCCAUUCAGCAUAUUGCAAUUUACCCUACCUGUAUUUGGAGGCUGAACAAGACCAGAUGGCCCUUGAGCAACAGCAGCAUGUGGUAAAGAAGGAUUGGCAUUGGUCAUCCAACCCGCAAUUGCAUUUGGAGUAACCACAGGUUGAAAUGGCUGCAAGAUUGAGAUAUAGUGAAUGAUAGAAUGAUAGAAAUAAGUCAAAUGUUUAACUGUUGCUAUAAUACGUACAGCAUGAGCACCCAUUGGUGGAAAUCCAGCUGAUUUGGGGAUUGGUCCAGCAAGAGGACCAUUGGCAGGGGGAGGAGCUCUUGCUCCAUUCGUAGGAGCAGCACAAGAAUGAUCGGUAAAGAGUGUCUUGAUAUCAGGGUUUGGUCUGGGAUUCUUGCAGAGCUGGUGUUGCCAGUUAAGACUACAUGGCACAAGAAAACAGACAAGUCAAGUUAGUGUUACCUUUACAAGAAGCUGAAGCGAGAGAAGGCAUACUGGAAGCCUAGUAGGUCUUCGUUAUCGCAAACAGUAAACGACAAGCAUUUAAUUGCAUGUGUAGAAAGUCCAAUAUAAAACCAUUGACACGUCACCAACUGACAUAUAUCCGUUAUAUUCCAUCCGAACUUGCUAACUGGGAGAAUCACAUACAGCGUAUCAAACUGACACCAAACAAAUCUUGAAAGCAAAAAGAAAAUACAUCAAGUAGAUUUCCUGGAUAAGACAUUGAAAGGAUGAGCGCUUAAAAUUGGAACUUGCCAAAUGUCUUAAGAAUUGACAUGUUUACAAUAUGUGGACACGGCAACUCCUCCAUCUUCACGUGUACAACCAUGAUUUGAUAAAGCACCAAAUGAUGCUAAUUUGAUAAAGCAACCAUCACUCUUAAUUUCCAAACUAAUUGGUUGGGCAUGUCCAUUGAACAGAACAACCAAUCAUGCAAUAACCAUAAAUGUCCUUCCAUUAUGUUAGGUGCUAAAACUCCACAUUAAUUUCAAUAUAAGCACCGCACACCCCUUUGUCCUAUUUGAUUGAUCAUUUUUAGGAAAGAUGGAAACUCAACCAGAAGAAAACAAAGAACAGAAAGGGAAACCCUCCAAGUAUAGCAGUUUAGUGACAGCUCUUUUCCCAACUUAUGACGUGAGCUGGCAGCUAUGCACACAAAUUUAUAUGUGGGAUCUUAAGUCACGGCAACAUUUAUUUGCUUUAAAAGUAUAGCAUAAAUAAUGUUCAUAGAGAUAGUAUCCCAUUGGACACAAGGGGUACUAGCACAGAACUAAAAGCAUGCCAGAUUUUAAAUCGACCAAAUACCUUUGAUUGAUCAGCGUGCGCAGUCUUGAUGCUUUAAAUGGAGGAAAAUUAAGCUUGUCCCGGAAAAGAGGAUUUGCUUCAAUAAGCUUCUUAAGCUCCAUGAGCAUGAUAUUCCGGGCUGACUUAGUGUCACCAUACUUGGACAGCUGCUCAUUUUGCCUGGCCAUCAUUGGCACACAACCACAUCAAUCCAAUGCACAAACAUUUUGCUAUACCAAAUUGCUCCGGAUGAACUAUUAGCAUCAUACCUAAAAUUAUCCAGAGUCAGCAGCUGUGUGAUUUCCUUGAACAGCUCCUCGUUGAAGGACGCAAACACCUUCAAAUCCUUGACGAGUAUCUCCACUGCCUUGGCCCGAUCAUGCCUGCAAACACCAGGCCAAUUCAGCACAAAUCACAGCAGAUACAGACAAAUGGACAUGAGAAAUGCUCAAGUAAAUAUGAGUCACCUGUCGAGGGCUUCGAGGUACUUCUGCUUGCGGAUCUCAAAGAAUAUCUUCAUGGAGUAGCGGUUGUCCUCCACCUUGGUGAAGCCGCUGAGGUACCUCUCGACCUCGUCCCACUCGCCGCCCUGCACCAUGUCUUCGAAGUGCUUCAUGUUGAAGUAGAACCCAGACUCCUGCUCCAACCUGCGCGACCAAAACGGGCGGACAAAAAAAAAUUAAUUCAAAAACCCAGCCUCCUCAACAACUCCAGAUAGCUACAAAAACCUUUUGACUCGAUCAACUCGGCAGUCGCACUUACUUGUGCACCGUCUCCUUAAACUUUUCCUCAUCCAGGAACUGCAGGAUGAGGAAGACCAGCUCCCUGCUCAGCGAAGACAUGGCUCCCCCGAUCCCGCCCUGCGUCUCCAGCGCUCACGACAAAGGGAGAACUCCCGCCUGCGCGGCAGAUCCCCUCCCAAAUCUCGGAAGAAAAAAAAACCACCGCAAGGCCCCCCAACCGCCGCCCCCGAAAACCCGGACCAAACAGCCCCCCCACGAGCAGCUCAAAACCCUAGCGAGGCUCCAAACCGAACGGCGAGAGCGAGCUCACAGCCCAAGCAGGCCCAUCCAGACGGGAUCUCCCCCGAUUCCGGCGGCGCGACCGCCGAUCUGCAGCUGCCGGCGCGAAUCCGGCGGCUGGAGAACCCAACCCAAACCCCUCGACCGCUCGCGGCGCUUCGUCGGCUAGGGUUUACCCGCCGCCGCCGCUUCCUUCUCCUUCGCUCUAGCCGCCGCGUUUCCCUUCCUUAUCUCUCUCUCUUCUACCCCCAACCUCUCUCUCUCUCCACCUUCGCUUUCUUCUCUCUCCAAAACCAGCAGUCCCUCUCUCUCUCGCUUUUAUUUUCCGGCUCUGCUUUUGGUUUUUCGGGGCCGCGUUUUAUAACCACCCUCUCCACGCAUCCCGUUAUAUAGCCGCCCAGACAGCCGCCCCAAUUUACCCCUGCACCCUCGCCCCUCGGCUCUAUUCACUCCGCCUGCCACUGAAAACGACUUGCGGCAGGGGCAAAACGGGCAAACCCCACUUUAUCUCCAGCGCAGUUUGGUAAAUUUCCGCGUCGCGUUCUGGGGCGGGCCCCGCCGGGUACGUGGGGGGCCCAUUAGACAGGCGCACUCGACCGCGUCCGCUGGCUGGCUUCCGUUUCUGGUGAGCCAUCUCUCGGCACGCCACGUCAUCCUUCCUCGUACGCAUUAAUUUUCUCUCUCUUUCUGUAUCCGCUCUCCCCGGUUUCGAAAUUUGAACUGGCACGCAGGGGGGAGGGGGGGGUUGGUGGUAGCCGCACCCCGUACUGGCUACCCAGCUUUUCAGGCAUGUACUUACUCACUACCAAGACUGUAUUUUUCAUGAUAAGGAAACGUGGAAUGAUUAUCCAUGUGGUCCAUAUGUUUUUUUUCUAUUGUCGAACAUGGUUAUUAUUCUGGUGGAUUCACAUAGUUAGAGGGAAGGAAUUUAUGGAGGACAUGAAGCCUAUUUUUCUCACACAAGAUGAAUGGUUGUGCGCAAAUAUGUGUGAUGGUCCAGACGUGGCGUCAAGAUGUUAUGUUUUUUUCUUCGUUGUUUUGUGUUCCUUGAGCAUUAAUAUCAAGGCUACGGAGAAACAUUAUCUCGUACUACCUCUAGUUAACAAAAAAAAUUACCCUCUUUCCAAAAUAUACGGAACGUUUGGCUUUUUACGGGCUCCAAUGAAGAUGUUUGACAAGUUAUGUUUGCAUGAUUCAUACAAGAACUUGUGGCAUACGAGUGAUUUGCGGAAAAAUACAAUGAGACCACGCUUGUAUGCUCAAUCCAUAUACUCUGGCCUAUAACAGUGGUCAAACUUCUACAUCGUCGAUCGCACACAUAUUUAUAUGCCUUCUAUAUUAUGGAACGUACGGAGUAGCGUUACACACAUGCCUUCAGUUAAACUUGAAUAUUUGGACCAUCCUAUCAAUACAAGUAUGUAUUAUAUGCGUAUACGUGUCUUAGGAAGAAUUUUCAUAUUAUUAUAGCUAUAGUGGUUACUAUUCAUAUACUUGCUUUUUCAUGUUUUAGGUGGUGCCUGAGAUUUUUUAGUUCUAUUAUUAGGGGGCGGCGAUUUGGAGCAACUACACACGUGCAGCUGUUGUGGCCCGCAAUAACAAUUAAAACAAGCGCCUUCAGGCGUGGGAAGUACACGAUGUGUGUCGCUUAAUUGAGCACGUGUUGUAACUAAUUAAGGCAUCUCAAAGAGAGGGGUGAUUGGCGAACGUGGCAUGUGGAGAUCGAGGGCUAGGUAGUGCGUCCAGCAAAAGAGGUGGGCAUACAAGUGAGCAUGGGCUAGGGCAUUUCAAUUACGUGCAUGUUAUAAUAAUUAAUGGUGGCGAAGAUUGAGGGGUGGGUGGCAUGUCAAGCAAGAAUUAAUGACAGAUAUUUAUAUAUACUCCCUCCAGACGUGAUUACAGCCUACCCAAGGAAUUUUGUGAUACAAGUUUUUCUUAACUGACCUCUAGUCCGAAAAGGAGUAUUCGAUAGGAAUCAUUGGUUAUUUCUAGAUUUUUGAUACUAUGUCAAUGCCCAAAAUGAUUUUUUUUUGUGAAUCUAAGGAAUGCGAUUGAACAACAGGAUCUGCAAUUAGAAAAAAAAUACAUAUAUAAAUUAAAAUGUAUACCAGCAUAUCCACACAACUUUCGUUUACCAUGUAUGCAUUAUGCAAUGCAAGAAGUGUAAUACACAAAUGUUCUCCUUGACCAUGUGAGUGCAAGACGACACCAUAAUAUUUUUUAAUAUAAAAUGCAGACAAUGAUAAGAAUUUUACAAAGUGGGGCAUGAAAGCUGACUUAAUGUAGUUCUACAUUACAGUAGCAAUGAAAGUAACAUGCCAGGGCUAAACUUGAAUUUGUUUGUCAGUUGUUUAACCUUACUCACUCGUCACAUAUCAACUAUCGUAAUAUCAACCUAUCUAAACGUAUUUUAAUACAUAGAUACAUCCAUAUUUAGUUAAAUUUGAACCACUUAAUAUGGUACGAAAGAAGUACUCCGUAGUAAAUUCCUGUAGAAAACACAGAUAUGUCUAGUUUUAAAAUAAAAGAUCAGAGAUAAAUUUGGUGAGAAAGAAAGUGUACGUACUCACUCAGCCAAAAGAACCGAAGUUGAGUAUCCACAGGAAAGCAAAGGGGAGAGAGAGAGAGAACAAAAAAAAAAAGGAAAGCAUGUGGGAGCCACUGGGUGCGCGUAGCAGGGAGGCAGGACGGGUGGGCAAUUAUUUCGGAUUUCGGGAGCCGUCGCUUUCCCUCUGCGCUGUAGUAGUGGCCGAGCGAGUAGCUGUCGAGCCUUUAACACGUUAUAAGCCAGAUACCUUAUCAAAAGCCCUAUAUAAGUACAGGACCUUAUCAGACAACUGGCCACGCAUUCGUUCAUCCAUCCAUGCGUCCGGUUCCGUCCCGAAUUUAAUUCCUUUUUAAAAGGGAAAAGAAAAGGAAGAAAAAACCUGCACCGCCACGUCUCACGUGCCACUCAGGCUCUGACACGUGGCGAGGUCCUUGGACCACCUGCUCACGUACCGAGUUUGGCUUUGACCGCUCUGGAAGCAGGGCCCCACUACGUGUGCCUGUACGGGCUGGACGCGGAAUAUGAGGGCUCGGGGACUGGAAGUAAUUACGAUGAAUGCCACUGAGGGGAACUUUGCCUCGGGAAUGGCGGAGGGGUAAUUCGGGGCUGAGGAAAGGGAAUCCCUGGGUGCCUUUUUUCUGGUGUGGUGGGAUCGAUCGCGGCCCCCCCGUCCGUAUCUGCGCGGCAGUGGGGAUCACAUGCAUGCGCGCGUGUGGCGCGGGAUCGUCUGUGGCUGGCUUCUUCUCGUUGGAUCGCGUACAGUGAAGUCGACGGGCGAUAGAGAUUUUCUUUCCUUUGGAAUUAUGAUGUUUUUAACGUCGAGAAAAAGUUAGUUGGUCAGGAGUAGUUCAUUGAACGGUUGCUUGUCCGUUUUCGCUACGGCAGAUCCUUGGGUCCAUGGGGAAAUGGACGCUAGACUUUAGAUAAGAAUGCAAAGCUAGACUUGGAAGAGAAAAAUUGGAUGCUAUCUUGCAUAGUUGCGAGUUUGUGGCUCGUGAACCGUUGGCCGGAAAGUCCCUUUGGAUUAGGCGUCCGUGUGAAGCAGAAGCAGCUAGGGCCACAAUUUUUUAUGUGCGAUCUCGGUAUUUCUUUGUCCGGAUUUAUAAGGCUGGCGUGAUUUUUUUUGGGUAUAAGCUUGAUCAACAUUAUGUUAAUAGUGAGAAAGUAAUGUGGUGUACUGGUUUCGUGUAGAAAAAUCGUACAAACCUCGUAAUGUAUUUGUAGCACCAAUUUCAGCACAGGUUAAAAUUGUGCUCCGUACAAACAACUGCGUAUAGGUUAUCUAGUCUGCAACCCGAUAAAUAUAACUGGGCUUUGCUUUCUCACCCGUUACUGUCAUACCGGACCUUGUUACUACACGUGCAACGUUAAUUUGUUCGUCCCGCUGUGCGUUAUUACAAGCACAACAGGCCUGAGGACAACUUUUUUUUUCUCUCCGAUGCAAAUGCACAACAUUAAAGAUUAUACCCAAAAGGUGGAAAACUAAAUCGCGCAAUCGAGUACGUACGCCUUGGAUGGUCAAGGACGAAUUUUGAUGUCAACACGGACUACAUCCGCAGAAAAAUUAGAUCGAUCCUACUAUAGCUAGGUACUGCCGGUACUAUACUUAUUACUCCAGGUUAAAAAUAAUGCUUCUGCAAGCCAAUAAAGCAGUGCAUCAAAAUUGCAUGCAGAUAGGAUAUCUCUUUGCUACUUCUGCCGUGUUAGUACGUGCAUGGAUCCAGUAGUACCGAAUGCCCAUCUUCCAACUUUUCGUAAUUAAAAGCAACGAGAAAGAAAGACAGAACUAGAGAAAUAAAAAAAAAUUGCAAGUGGAGCGCCUGCCCAGAUCCGGACACGCACGAGAGAGAGAGAGAGAGAGAGAGAGAGAUUGUGGAGUGAGGGAUGAAUGUGACGGGGGUAAACUGUUGGGUACGCCAUAAUUGGGUUGGGGCCAUCAUGUGCGUGCUACGCUGCUGCUAGUACUACUACUAGUAGUGCACUGUACGUACCGUCAAACGUGUGUACGGCGGGUAGCUAGGACGCGCCUUUCUCCACCUAGUGGGUCUUGUUUUGCUACAACCACCCCACGUACAUGUCCACGCAAAACAAUCUAGGCGUAUAUACAUGCAUGUCUCGAUCUGUCUAUUUAAAGUGCAUAAGAAACUAUGUGUAUUCUUUUGUGUCAUGCUCUCUCCAUUUAUAAAAUUAGCCGCAAACAAGUCAAACUUUUUGAACUUUUACCGAGUUUAUACAAAAAAAUUACCAACAAUACGACUCCAAAUUAGUUUAACUAAAUCUACCAUGAUAUAUAUAUUUCAUAAGAUAUUUAUUUGAUAUUCUAGAUAUUGAUGCUUUCUUUAGUAAACUUAGUCAAAUUUAAAAAAAAAUUGACUUAGAACAAAGCUACUGAUUUACUCUUAUAUUUAGAAAGGGUAUGGACUAGGCUAGUCUUGUUUGGACCCGAUUUCAUGUGCCACAUGCAUGUGUAGGCGUAGAGGACGGAGCUAGCAGGGGGCAUCCAAAACCCAUGGUUCUCUUGUAUCACGAGGCUGCUCAAAAUAUUGUUAGCCGAGUGAGCACCAAGAUCUCUCUCUAGCUUUCACUCUCCAUCUAUUUCUCUCUCUCUCUUGCUCUCAACGCAUAAAGAAUGGACAAGUGAAUUUCACACCUGCUUCAAAAGGCCUGGCUAGCUCCACGUGUCCCCACAACCACACCUGCUUGCUCCCAAAAAGGAUAAGUUAUAGGGUGCAUUAGAUGGGGACAAGCCAUCCAUCAUGCUCUUUUGUACGUGUCGUAUUUAAACAGAGUUUUUUUUUUUGAGGAAACAGAGGGAGUAUUUUUGUUAUGCUAUAACUGUGCGAGUGGCAAGAAGAGGGAGCAGAAUGAUCCUGCUAUUUUGGUCACCGCGGAAAUUUGGCGAAUCUAUACAAAAAUAGAAUCCAUGAUAAUGAUGAUUUUCAGUUUUCUUUGCAAGAGGAAGAAGAAGAAGAUUUCCAGUUUUUUUUUUUGACGAUUCCAUGCUGACAAUCACAUCACUUGGACGUUUUCCUUGCGUCUGAACAUUAUAUAUAAAAAGUUUAAGUUUGCUGGUCGUACCGAUGCUAACGCGUGCUGAUUUGGACAGGCACCGUGGGAGCUAAUUUUUGGUACGGUAUAAGUCACCAUCUUGAUGUGAAACCUGAUGCUAGAUUUCCAGUUUGGCUAUUUGUAUUAAUCAACGUGGUUUGUUUGUCGUUUAGGCGUACCAGUCCGGGACCUGACUUUGUAAUUAGGACAAUAGAGAAAGGCUAAUCAUGCUCAACAAAGCUGGCUUGAUCGCUAGCUAGAUACUUUUUGCUAGGCUAGCCAAGAGAUAAAACUAUAGAGCAUCAAGAUCCUUUCAUUAGGUGUGCUCGAUCGAACUUUCCCUGGGGAAAAAGGAGUCAUCGAUCGCCGAUGAAUUUUACAGAAUUCUCACCAAUUAUUGGUAAGAGAUGGUGUCGCCAGCAAAUUUCCCUCAAUUAUUGGCACCUAGGACUGCGGGACCAAUGUUUUGUGUCAAGGGAAAUACAUAUACUCUUGCAAAAGAAAAGGGAAAUACAUAUACGGAGUAUGGGGCACAGAAACUUCCACCAAAAUGCUCAAGCAUUGUCACUGGUGUACUACCCAGCCAUCUCCAUCCCCCAUUCUGAAAUCUGAAUUCAAUAUUGACCCACGAAAUUCUAUCUUAUCAUUUUCCUUCGUUAGAUAAAAUCUGACAAAUUUCAUUUCUGAGGAUCUUGUCAAGGUCAGUCAAAAUAGAGUACGUGUACGGACAACUGAAAUCUUUGCCCAGAUCCUGGCUAGGCGAGAAGGACCAUACUAAGAUCUCCUGUCAGUAGUUAUCCGACGGUAAUUAUCGGUAGUGGUACGUGUUGUUGCAGAUAGGCCAAACAGAAGGCACAUGGUCGGCAGUAUCGUCACUGUGACGACCCCACUGGCAGUACAAAAACUGAGGAGUCCUUUUCCACCAAAAUUUUUUUCUCUUUCCGAGGAGAACACCAAAAUGACAGGGAAGGAAAGGAAGAGGACGGAGGGGACGUGAGUGGAGCUGCUGCUGAUGAUGUGUGCUGCUGUUUGGCUCUGAGCAUUUCUUUUUUUAUUCUGGAAAUUAUUUUUUUUCUUAGAGAGAGAGGUGUGGCCUGGUCUGUCCGUCAGUGUCAAGGAAAGUGAGGUAGUUUGUGGUUGGAGGAACUAUGAUGGCAGGGAGCGCUCUCCCCUGCCCUGCAUUGAAACCUCCCAGGCCGUACUAUGUGGAAAUGGAAAGUGUACACACUCAAGGUCUACCUCGGACUGUUUUUAUUAGUUCUCCAUUCAGCCUACUACUAAGCCGUAUAACUUUUGACUAAUAAAUUGUUAAAGUUUGACUAAAUUUAUAGUAAAAAUAUAUCUCAUAUACGAAAUCAAUAACUACAAAAGUUUAUUCACGAUAGAUAUAGUGAUUAUGAUUUGGAAACGCAAAUGUUAAUAGUUGUGCUACACGCUGUAUCGAACUUUCGAACGUCCGACAGUCAACAAAAAUUAUACUUGAUAUAUUAUGUAUGACUUAUAUUCUGUAACAGAGAGAGCAUGCGUGUGAGUUAUUAUAUAUGGCAACUUCUUGGUGGUGCGGUUAGAGCGUUACUUGAUACUCCCUCCAUUUCACAAAGAUCGGCGUAUUUUGUUUCGUUAAGACAAGGCUUUGACCAAUGACAACUCUAUUAAUAUGUGUUUUUACGUACAUGAAAUUUAUAUCAAUAUAUUCAUCUUUAAAAUUCUUUCUAAUAAUCAUGAUUUUGUAUGAUAUAGGUUACAUAUUAAUAGUGUAAUUCUUGAUCAAAGCAUUUUCUUCACGAAACAAAAUACGUCAAUCUGUAUGAAAUGGAGGGAGCAUAAAGUAACGACUAAAUUUCCUAAAUCCCGACACUUAUAAUGGAUCCGACGAAGUAUUGACUUGUCUAGAUUCCUCCGUCCAGAAAUAAGUGACUCAACUUUAUCUAAAUUCGCACGUAUCUAUACGCUAAAACACGCCUAGAAAAGUAAAAUCUAGACAAAUCCGAGUCAUUUAUUUUCGUACGGCGGGAGUACUGAACGUUGCGGCAACAAGGCAACAGCCCGCGUGUGGCCGUAGCGGGGACGCCGAUUGGCACGCCGCGUACGGCCGGCGGGGGAGCGAGCGAGAGCCGAAUCGAAUCACACAUCCAGCAGACACACUCGUGACAGAAAGAGAAGCCCCGCCCCCCGUCUCCCCCCUUCCCCUCUCUCUCCAUCGGUCGCUGUCGUCCACUGCUCUCUCCCGCAAGGGUUGACGAAACUGCCCCCCGCCCCAACGACCACCACGCCUCGCAGGGGCAAAACCGUCCGCUCCGAUCCUCCUCCCCUCCGGAGAACUUCCUUUGCGUGUGCUUGGGUGGGGACCCCACACACGCGCAUCUGCAUCUCGGCCUGUGCGCACACACACGUCUGCGUCCGUUUCUCCAUCCGUCUCGGCGGCUUAUCGCGAGAUAUACAUGUGCGCGCACGCACGCGCGGUACGAUAUGUACUCCGGUGCGUGGGAAGGCGUGAAAGGAGAGACGAGAUGAGACGAGACGUGGGGGUGGGGAGGGAGUCUUUUUAAAGCCUGGAGCUGUACGCUUCUUUCCUGUGUCGCAGAGAGAGCAGGCGGGGGGUGGGAAGGGGUGUGUGUUUCCUGCCGUCCCUUCUCGACACGUCCCUCUUUCUCUACCUCCUCUCCCCGUGUGCCCUAGUACGUGUAUCUACUCUCCGUGUUUGCGUACAGUUGCGUACCUGUCUAUACAUCCUUUUCUCUCUACAAAUAAUAAUACUAGCUUGGGGACGAAUUGGAAGGCUCGGGGAACGAAAAGUCACACUGCCCUGCGUUACAACGUAGAGCGAAAUGAUUCGACAACGUCGACACCUGUCAUCUCGAGCUUACCGAACAUUUUGCAUGUCCAGCCCUGCAGACAUUAAAUGACUCGAGCCUGUCUAGAUGUCCAUUUAAUAUGAGACGGAGAAAGUAAUUCCUACCGAAUUCAACAUUUGUAUUGAUUACGAAGGGAGUACUAACUUGAUGAUUUAAACACUUAUUUAGUUCGCCAAUGUUAAAUGACUCUUAGUGAGGUUAGUUUUAUAGAGACUAUAGAUAAAUACAAACAUUACAUAACAAGCCAAUGUAAGAUGAGAGAGAAUGAAUAACCUCACUCUAACGUACUAGAAGUGCAAAAGGAUGACCUUGAGAGCAACUUCUGGCCCUACCUUAGUUCAACCAUGCAAAUGAACAAAAAUUUGUAAAAUCACAUUGCUUUAUAUAAAACUAGUUCAUUUUUUUCAACUAAAAAGGGUUGGAAGGUACUCUUAGGGUCGUCUUUUUGCACCUCUAGUUACAACUACAAGGGCACAGACCCGCCCAAAAAAGCAUCGGGUGUAUUACAAAACAUCGAACACCCGAGGUCUGUUACCCAUUACAUUCUUUUUCUAAGAUGUUUAAACUUUAUACUAAGUCAAACAUUUAAAAUUUGGUCAAGUUCAUAGAAAAAACACUAACAUCUACAACUCAAAAUUGGUAUUAUUAAAUCUGUCACGAUAUAUACAUAUAUAAAUUGAUAGAAGAUAUACUCCCUCCGACCGGUAUUACUUGUCUCAAAUUUUCCAAAUACGGAUGUAUCUAUGUGUAAAAAGCGUCUAGAUACAUGUAAUAUUUCGACAAGUAAUUCCGGCCGGAGGGAGUAGUAGAUUCCUAUAAAAUUUAGUCAAACAUUAAACUUGGUCGACAAUUUGACUUGGAACACAAAGCCACGAUAUGUUAUAAAAAGAUCGGAGGGAGUUGUACAAUGCUAGGUGCUUAUUAAAAAUAAAAUACUCUGUUCCUGCCUGUUUCUGUAAGAUACGAGCUUAAUUAGGACAUCUUCAACAGGGCACAGUUACAUAGCUUGCAUGUCAUCACUUCUUUUUCUAUUUUAAUCUCAUCUAUCCUUUAUUAUAUAGGGAUAUUUUAUUUUGUACUUUUCUCUUUCCUAGCAGGCCCACUGUCAUCCCCUUUUCUAGUCUUGGUACCCGUGUAGUAGUGGUAUCUUGCAGAGAAAACCAUCUCUUCAACUUUGGUUCAACCUCAGCCCAAGAAGUAGGAAAAAGAAUAUAGGUAGUCCCUCCAUUCUAUAAUUCUUGUCGAAAUCUUACAUGUAUCUAGACACCUUUAGAAAUAGAUACAUUCAUUGUUAAACAAAUUUGAGACAAGAAUUAUAGAACGGAUGGAGUACUUGCUUAGUAGUACCCUGUUGGAGAUACCCUUGGUACGGAGUAAAAAAAAUAAGCAUCAAUGUUUAAGAAUAAAUCGAUUUAAUCUUAUAAACACCAUUACGCAUGAAUGCUCAGAGGAAAAUAAAACACAUGCUAACGUACUCGUUCAUCAUGAGACGGAGAGUACCCGUCAAGAAAUGAGGAAAUUGUACAUUCCACUCAUCUUUGUGAAGGUUGCUGCGGAAAACACCUACUCGACAAUUUUUUUGUGGAAAACACCCACUCGACGUCUAAUCCGUUGCACACAAGUUCUAAUCCGUGUUUGAUCUCGUUAACAAGCAUUCUGACCGAUGGGGCCCACAUGUCAGAGACACCCUGGCCUAAGGGGGCUGCCACGGUGGCUCAUCCCCUUCCUUGAGGCUCUUCAAGGGAGUGCGCUGCGGCGGAGGCGGCGCCCAGGCCCGCAGGGCGCGACAGCCCAGACACCGCCCGCGCGCUCGGCUUCUUCGGCCGCUCCAUUAUCUAGCUGCCCAGCUCCGACCUGCUCUGCAGGACCUUGCACGGGCUCGCUGCGGCGCACGGCGUGCGUGAGGCGUGAUCAACCUCAUGUCGAGUGCGUUCUGCUCCGCCGACGUGGUCGCCGACGCCAACCUGUCUUCCACGCUGGAGCUGCGGGAGCUCAUGGAGGACCUCACUGUGACGGUCGCCAAACCCAACGUCUCCGGCCUCGUCCCUUUCCUACAGUGAGGUAGGUGCAGACGGCGGCGGCAACGAAGGAUGGGAUCCAUCUGUCUCACGUGGCAAGCCGGAGCGGCCAGGGUGGCUAUGACAUGUGGGUCCCACCGAUCAGAAAGCUUGUUAAGGAGUCCAAACACGAGUUAAGACUUGUGUGCAACGGAUUAGUCGUCGAGUGGGUGUUUCAUGCAACACCCUCCCCGUGACGGGGGUGGAAGGUACAAUUUCCUCGUCAAAAAAUUUACGUCGACGCUCCCUGGAAAAGGUCCUAAGCGGCGUUUGUACAUGGGCGGUACACACUACCACGCAUAGGAUCCUCGCCACGAAAGGACUGCCCCGUCCGUACUAUACUGGAGUACUAUAAGCCAGAACCACACACAUAACAAGAAACCAAGAAAACCAAAAAAAAAAAAACGGGGCGAAAAUGAAAACCCUAGAUAAAUGGAGGCAGACCCUGACAACCACUUUCGUUUUCUUUAUCGGGAGCCUUUCCUUUUCUUCUCUUCUCCAUACGAGAAGAACAAUCAAGCGCGAUUCAUGACAACACGCACCACAGAGGUCCGAGAUUCUCUCCUGCGAGAUAUCUUCUCGCGACACGACACGGUACGACAAGUAGGCGACAAGGCACGAUACUAGGUAAAAUGGGCGCUUUUAUUUUUUAACGGAUGCGAUGGCUUUAAGUUGUUCACAGGUCACCAGCACACGAGACCGGUCAGGCAGGCAGGACGGCUCAGGAGGUGUCAGUGCUAACGUUAGCACCAGUGUCACGUUCACUCGAUCUCUCUCCUUGCUUUUUUAACGUUUUAUUUUUCGUAUUCUUUGGAUCAGUAAUUACUGAGUACGGAGUACGUGAUUUAUUUAUUUUCUGGGUGGAGCCGCGCCUCGUGACAAACACGCUAGACUGGUCAAGGCCAACGCUAAAUCCACAGGCAUUGUACUCGUAGCACUCCCAGAAAAAUAAAAGAGGCUUCAUCGUAUCUUUUUUUUUAGAAAUGGGUACGAAUACAUAGCGGCAGAUUACUCCGCCUACAAAAAUGAAAAAAGUAAUCUUCUUGUUAGUAUUAUACAGAGGUCCAGAUAUAGAAAUGGCAUCCUGUCCCGUGGUAAACUUUUCUGAAUUUCAGACACGGUGUCAAAUCAAUAUGCUCCCCAGUAGUAAAUUAUCUGUCCCAGCCUUUUGACCUAACUUCAUUUUGGCGCAAACUGAAUAAGCUAGGGUUAGAGUGUUGGACAACAACAUCAAGAGAAUCUAAAAGGGGGACCGCUAGCUCUUUGUUGAAAAGAAUAAUGUUUCUUAAGACAAAUUAAAUGUAUACUCGUAAUAUUGUGGAUCUACCCAAGGUUUUUUUUUCUUUUCUUCCUUUUUUCUUAGAUCAUGGGUGUCCCUACGUUUCCCGCCUAUCAUCAUGGAAAGAAGAAUGUCUUUGCGAGAAUUGGCCAGGAGUUGCUGUCCGAACCAAAGCAGAAUUAGCACAAUGUGUACAGAUGGCACUGUCAGGACCAUCAAAAAGGCUAAAUUAAACAUUUAAGCAGCUGCAAGGAAAAUGAUUAAGAUGGUUACACUUCUCGAUCAAAUGGUGGGCCACUGAAAUUGACCUCGUCCCCUGGUCCAGAAUAGCAUGUUUAUUCUCAAUUAUUGAGUCCUUUCUGUGGGUUUUUUCAAAGGACAUGGGUAAGUGCACCCAAAGCGUGUUCAAAAUUGUUGGAUUAUUUAAUCAAUUCAGUACUUCAACUUCAAGCUACGAUUUCAAUGUGAUGCUACUCCACUGGGUUAUGCUUGAGUCAAAUUAAUUUGUGGACAAGACAAAGGAUGGGCCUGGCUCGAGUCAAAGGUAUUUAUCUGAAUACCAAUAUUUUGGCCAAAUAACUAGAUACUACGUAUAUGUAGCACAUGUGUGUAUAAGGGCCUUUUUGAUUCACAGGAUUUCAAAAUCGCAGAAAUAGGAAAAACAUAGGAUUUGAAUGUCAUGUCAUGUUGAAUCUUAUGGAAAUUCAAAAUACAGGAAGUUGUUUGAUUGAACCACAAGGAAAAAUGUAGAAUUUGCUUAAAGGAUUAUGUGCUACUCAUUUUUGUCAUAGAGACAAAGGAAAUUUUCCAUGAGGUUGAAAUUUUCCUUUGGAAUUGCAUGCAAACUAGUCCACAGGAAUUAUUCCUGUGGUUUCAAAUCAUGUAAAUCAAACGAGCUAUAAAGGAAAUAUUCCAUAGGAAUAGAACCCUUCAAAUUUUCUAUGAAAUUUCUUUGAAUCAAAGGAGCCCUAGAUGGAAAAGUAAGUCAAAAUGAUAAGAUGUUUAAGCUACUUAUCCUCAAAACAACUCCCUCCUCCCUUGGCCUAAUGGCCCAAUUCUCAACUGAAUCAAGUUUAUAUCUCCAAAAACAUGGUUUUCAAGUGUAAUUUUUUUGACAUCUUGAAACUUUGAACACCAACUCUAAAAAUCGUAGGCCCGUCCUUGGACCCAAGCUGACGUAUCCUGUUUGCUUUUUUCGAAAAGGGAAAGCGAUCCCCGCCUUCCCGCCCUCUGCAUCAAUUGAUUCAUUCUGUUUGUUGUUUCUAUGUGUACGUCAGUGCACGUUACGGUAGGAUUCAUUCAAGAGGAUUAUCUUGGUUUCGUUCAUAUUCUUUUCUGAUAACUUCAGGUGCACAGAUUUAUCUGGAAAAACAUGAAAGCGAUGGGUAAUAUAGUUACAGAACUUGGAAGUAAGAAAGAACGAGCUGGCCUCAAUUAUGGUGUUCCGCAGGCCGGUAAUUGCUUUCCAGAAUCCAUUUGGGAAUUUCAAGCAGAAGAAUACUUUUUGCAGUAACACAUGACACGUCAGUCUCAUCGUCAGAGCACGCAGCCAAAGAGAAAACUGUAUAGCUAAGCUUCAGGCGUUUCUUUUAUAAGAACAUGCAGAGCUUGCACGCCACUGGUCAUUAAAAAUACAUGCGUUUCUGAGUUCAGAAAACAAAUCCGAUAAAAGAUUGCUGGAACAAAUCAGUAUUUCCUGCAUUAGCUCUCUUUGUUACUUCUUCCGUCACAUAUUUAAUGACUCAAUUUGUCUAAAUAUGAUAUAUCUAUACCGAAAAAGCAUCUAUGCAUGUAAGGGCAUCCACAGUAUUUAGAGAUAUAAUACCUCUAAGCUGGGACCCACCUCUUAUCUCUAACCUUAUCACCAAAUGCUGCAGUCUUUAGAAACAAUUUCAUCUCUAUCAGUACAAAGUACUAUGAUGCUCUCACAUAAUCUUUUUUCUUACUUAUUCUAUUGGACUUCUAUAGCAUAGAGGCUGCCUCCAAAGAAAGAGGCAUUUCUCAUCUCAGAUUCUUAGAGGUAGGAGAUUGGAAUGCUUAGAGGUUGCCUCUAAUGGUUAGAUGCAUCUAUAGAGGUAGAAAAGCUAAAGACCGUGGAUGCUCUAAUAUUUCGUUCACUUAAUAUGGGACGGAAGGAGUAUAAUUUCGAAGAGGACAUGGCGAAUAAUUUCUUCGUCAUAUUUUACGGAAUAUGUAUAUCCUUAUGCGCCUAUACACUCGGGGGAACUUUUAGAAACGAGAAAUUACAUUUUGCUUAGUGGAAGAUUUUGCAGGAGCUCGGUAGCCAAACAAGAUUUUGGACACGUAACAUAUCCAUCGAGGGGUCAUGCCAUGCACGUUGUUGGAGGGGGCAUUUUCAGCUGCAGAAGAGUAUUUUUGCAGUAACACAAAAAUUCUUCAACGUACGCUGCGGUUGCCGACCAAAGUACCAAACUCGGAGCCAAAUUCUUCAACGCUACGGCCACCGUCCAAAGCUCGGAUCGAGAUUGACAACACCCAUCGUCGAUCUGAUAUAUCGGAAUCGUCGUGUCUAACAGACCGGAUUGAAGCACCUGGUAGGAAAAAGAUCCAAGGAAUGUAGCCGUGCAAAAAUACAGUCAUGCUUGGUAUUCUACAGUUUUUAACAAGUAAACUGAACUCUUGAUAGACGGCUCUAUACAAAUCUGGAAGGAAAAAAAAUUCAACCAUACAGCUCAAAAGCAGCGAAGAUGUUUUUUUUUGUUAGUCUUGACACUCUAACCCAGAAGUGUACGGUAAAUCACUCCGGUGAUGAUAUUUCAGACCGUCUUUGAAAGGAUUUUGGUUGUAGGCUGGUAAUUGAUCACAACUCUAGCUAGCUAUUUAGGGCCUCUUUGGAGUGAAUACUGUCGGAGAUCACCUUAACUAUAUUUGUCAGCGCAUUUUUCCUGAAUUCAAAAUUGAGCAGACAAUGUAAUGAAAAUCGGUUCAUGUUGGUCAUAAAACCUUAUACGCGACUUCCGUCCGGUGUAGAACAAUCGUUCCAGUUAUUCGGGCAACAAAACCUGGAUGAGGCCAGAAUUUGUCACUUUGUUUAUGUUCUCACAGUUACCACAGAUCAUCAAUCCUCAAAGCAACGGCAUUCCAAAACAGAAGCAAUAUCCUUACAAGAAAAACACAAGCAAUACACCAGAGGGAUUCAUUCCUAAAAUAAAACACACAAACACCAACCAAAAAGUAAGGAGUACUGCUCGGCAUCUUCAUCUUUUUCAUUUUUUACUCGUAGAAGUACCUACGUACUUCCUCUCUCCCAUAAUAUGAGGCACGUACGCAUCUCUAGAUUCUCAAUUUGAUUAAUUAAAUAUGUAUGUUUCUUAACAAAUAGUACAUCAUUAGAUUCGUUGUCGAAAAAACUUUCUAAUGAUAUAACUUUUUAAUUAUUUAAUUUAUAUUUAGUUAGCAAAAUUAACGAUUUAGGGAUGCGUACUUGUGCCUCGAUAUUAUGAGACGGAGAGAGUACUGUACUGCCGUUUUACUUUUCCUUCUCUCUUCACAGGCGAGUGAAUCAGUAAUACUAGAGUGACAGAGAGUAUUCAAUAUAGGCAUUCCAAUUAGGUCAGGGCACAUGCGCCUGCUGCAUCUCGCAGAAAAUGGAAGCACCUGCUCUUGCGCUCCCCACCAGUAGUACCUCUAUUUUGGAUUGCUGCCCGGUUCCUAUAUAUACACCAUGUUUCAGUUUUAGAAUACUCAUCCCAAUGUUGAAAUACGGUCCUGUGUUUGCCUUUCAAAUUUCCCCCCUUCCAUUUUGUGUUUUGAUUUCAGGAAGACUCAGCUGUUAUUUUCUCUCCUGCAAAAGCAUAGGUAUGCUAUUUUCCUCAUUGUUAAUAGGCUGUUUAAUUGUCAGCUCUCUUCCUUCAUUUUUCAGCCUUACACUGUCUAUUAGUAAUGAUUUCCUUUUGCUCUUAUUUACUUUGUUAUCUUGCUGAGAUUGAAAUUUAUGCGUAACUAAUGAGAUAAACUAUAUGUUCUCUCUAUAGUUUUUGCCCAAGUAACUUUGCUGUUCUUGAUCCUCGGUGACAUUUCCAACCUUUGGAGCUUUCUUAGGCCAUCUAUGUGUCUGGUCCAAACACACUCCAAAGAGGAUGCAAGAACCAAGGAGGAGUGUAUCACCACGAGCUAAACAGUUGUACAAAGGCAGGUGCUCUGCCAAAUCCAUAGGAAAAAAAAGAGGGUCAGCAUCAUCUUCUGGUGAGCCUAGCAUUUCCCAAUCCCCAGUGCUCUGCCUGCCUUCCAAAUGAGUACAAACACAAACUGAGAUUUCUUUUCUCUCCCUCUCUCUCUCUCCCUAUACCUCUUUCCUUUAAUGCGACUAGACUAGACUCAUCGUCGGCAGAGGACUCUGGCUGGCUCCAAUAUAUGCCCCCACAAGCCGCUUUUGUUCCUUACACAUUUGUAUGUUGUCCACCUAUCAUUGGCCCAAAAAACUGGAGUAGUACCACAGCACGGACUAGGUCCAUUGCAUAUGGUCUAAAUAUUUUUGAGGGAUCUCAUCUUGUGUUUUCAGUCCAGAUAUUUGUGGGAAUGUUGCUGAUUUGGUCUUAUUGCCUAAUUUAUAUGUCUGGUUUAUACCUGUAAGGUUUACCUUAUUUUUUACGCUUUCCAGGUAUUACUAUAAAAUGUCACCCAUGAAUAAUGGGAAAUUAUUAUUGCCAGAGCAAUGAAAAGUAGAAACAACUUAUUGUAGCCAUGAUGGUUUGGACAGUUUUUGGAGACGGACCGAGAGCACCGUGGUACCCAUAGAUUCCGGCGACCGAUAUAUUUGAAUAAGCUAUUUCUAGUCCCCAACCGUUAGAAAACAUUUCGUGGAAUAAAUCAAAGGAGUGUCUAUAUUUUGCACGGGCAACCGAUUUUUUUUCUUGUUCCAAUCAUGACCGAUCGAAAAUGUAACAUGUUUCCAGACAACUAAAACCAAAUUGGCACAUCUAUUUUACGAAACCAAGACCGAAUGGAUCGACAAGCGGGUGCAUGUAAACGCGACACGGAAGCAAAAGCCACAUAGGAUCGUGUCAUUCUCCAUUGGUACGCGUAGCAGGCCGGUCCCCCAAAGCCUACACUACACACACCCUCCUUCUCUCUAGGGAGGAACUAGGAGAAAGAGACCCGGUGGUAGUGUUGGGUUGGAUGGACGUCGACGUGGACAGCUCUGUCUGAAAACCGCUGAUCAUCUUAAUUAGACUCUCCAGGACAUAUAUAAUCUCUUCCACUUUACACAAUAUCUUCACUAAAAAAAUUAGAAUAACAAAGAACAACGACCGAUUGCUGGUAAUCAACGUCCCCAUCAUCAUCAGAGUCCUUAAAAGAAAAUUAAGACGAGGCAUGCGAUGCAAAUUAAAUGUGGAAUCCAUCCCAGGCUAGUUCCCCAACUAACAUCACCAAGAAUCUCUUUCUCGCCCGAUAUAUCGCCACAGGUACCCUGAUACCUGUCGCGAGACGAGAUAUCGUUGGCCGUUGCGAUAUGGGGAACGAUGGGUGGCCUCGCAUCACUUCAGCCAGCUCCAUCGCUGUCUGAAUUUCUCUCUCUGUAGACAUGCAGCAUGAACAGACAGCAGGGCUGGGACUAUAUAAUUUGAUAUUGAUAGAAACGAUAACAAUAAUGAUACUAACAAUAUUGGGAAUAUGUCGCUGGCUGAAAGGGAUUGAUGGAUGGAUGGACGCAUAAACUCCUUUCUUUCUUUCUGACCUUUUCUUGUGGAUGGCUACUCCUGCCUAUAUUUCCUCCUCCGCCAUACACAUGCAAAAGUCUAGCCUCAGAUUUUUCCUUAUAUGCAGUAAUUUCUCCGUUCCAAAAUAAAUGAUUUGAAUUUGUAUCUGUACAAUCAUCUAUACAAAUUCAAGUCACUUAUUUUGGGACGGAGAAAGCACUCACCUAAGCUAAGAUCACCGAAAAAAUUCACAAACCUAAAUUUAUGUAGUGACUUAAUUGGCUGGGAUAAUAAUCGUCGCCGGUUUUCCUAGUUUUCGAAUUACCGGCAAUUUGCGUACAGAAAAUACUUGGAUAAAAGACCCUGAAGAAUAUUUCGUACGUAAACUUUAUGAACAGGCAGCUCCAUGUAUAUCCACAGAUGUAUUUGAUGGGGGUGAGUUGUCUGCAAGCAGAGGAUUGUUGGGUUUGGGACAGCGACGUAUCUGGCCCUCCCGCUUUGGAAAAGCCAUCAAAUGGAGCUUUCAAGGAACAAGGAGGAAACUAAUAAAGGAUUAGCUAUUCCUUUGUAGCCUUGUCGGUCCAGGGGCAGGCCCUCUCUCUCUAUAUAUAUUCCAUUCGAGCUGGAGUGUUAAAGCUAGACUGGAUAGAAAAGGCUUUCUCAUUUGCUUCCCAGAUUGUUUUAGUUUGGACAGUGACUAUCGUACACACAUGUAUAAUGCAGAAUUAUCAGCUUUGCAGGCAAUUUUUAUUCUUAUUUUUUAAAAUGAAUCCAAGUUUGGAUAACCAGGUAAUUCUCCAGACUCCUCCACAGGAGUACAUGUCAACCUUUUCUAGUCAUAUUCAAAGAUACAGCCAUCAAGAAGUCUCAACUCAUACUUUUCUUACCACUUUUUAAGAGGAAAGCUAGAAUAGAACGUUUGGAAAAAGGUCCCAUACUAGGCCAAGCCCAUAUGCUUUACAGCGCUAGGCUUAGAUUGGGCCAAUUUGCGUCCCAUGACUGGUUUAACUUAGGCCCAUCUGCCUCCCAGGUAAGCACAAUGCUAACAAGAAACUGGGCAAACAGGCGAUUCAGGACACUGAAGUGUCACAUUGACUAGACUAAAUAAGAGCACAGGUACCAUCACAUCAUUAUAAUGCCGAAGCUAUAGUAUCAGUUCUACGCUACAUAGUCAUUCUUUAAGAGGACAGCAAGAUAACGUAACAAGAGAAGAGGUUCAUACUGACGACAUGCAACUUGCUUGGACACAAAAUUCAGGCGCAAUCUCGUGAACAAUCGUCCGAUUCGUUCCACCCGAGCUUCUCUGGUAAUAGCCAUGUCUGGUGUCGCCACCAUGGUCUAGGUCACUAGCUCACUCGCACUUGAUGGAGCGGUAAAUGUGCCGCACAAAUAGCAGUGACGCACGGAAACCAACUGUGCCCAGCAUCAGGAAGAAACCGUAGCAGACACAGGUCAUGUAGCCGAAGAAGAAGGACGUUUGCAUGAAGCCUGACAUGUCUGACCGGGCAUGGUAGUAGUAGAUGCAGUAGAAGAAGAUGAAUAUGCCAGUGGAGCCUCCACAAAGGACAGAUCUGCAAAUAGAAGGAAAAACUUUCAUUCCACAGGCACAAACAAAAAACAUGUGAUGCAAGGAAGCAUUAGGUCUGAGUAAUAGAAUCCGAGAAUAUGGAACAUGGUUUCCUAAUAUGUAAUGUGUUUUCUCCUGAAGUGCCUCUCAAGUUCUGUUGUUUGUAGUAAGUGUUUUAUGUAUAACUAGAAGCAUUACUAUAGAUAACUUUCAAACACAAACAGUGGAUCUAUGCUCAUUGCUCAUUAUAGCAUAGUACUGAAUACUGAUCUAGCAUGCCAUGUACCAAAUAGUUGCUGAACUGCAUGUUUUUCUACAGUUUAAAUUUUGGUUUGGAUCUGUGGUCAUGAGCAAACAUAACAGAGAAGUAACCAAGUAAAUAUGACAAGAAACAAAAACAUUAACAUAUGAGGAUAAAAGCAUCAAGAUGAAUAAAUGUCCUGAACACUGACCUCCACCACCACUUGUGAUCCUCAACAGCAAGCUGGAAGUAUGUGAGGGCCACUGUGACAAACGCAGUGACGAUGAUGAGGAUAAUGAAGACAAUGAAGAGGAUGCUGUAGAUGGUGUAUAUCUUAUGCCCCCAGAUGCUGGCAAAUAUGUAGUACAGCUCAAUGUAAAUAGCACUGAAAGGGAGGAACCCUGCCAUUGCCAUCUGAGGAAUGGUGCUUCGGUACCAGGGCAGCUCAGGGAUUUCCCUAGGAUACUUGGUUGUGCGGCAGGGAGCUUGGAACUCUGUAUUGCUAUUUUUCCCAGCUAUACCACCUAGCACUAGCAGGGGAGAGGUUACAAGUGCCCAAAUGAGAAUAAUGACAAUGAUAGUACCGAAAGGCAAAGCUGCUGUGGCACUAUAUGCUAUUGCAACGGUGUUUAGGAAGGAGAAUGUCAAGAAAAGCGGGCCACAGAACAAGCAGCCAGUCAAUAUCAGAUUCCUCACCUGAAACAUAAAGGCAGAACAUGUCAAACACAGCACCAAAGACUUGAAGAAACCAACCAAUAAUGGAUGCCUUACCCAGUUUGUUCCUUCCAGCUGAAGAUAGAAGGAAGUGGCUGUGUAUCCAGCAAUACCAGAUGUAAGAGCGUAGAUGACAACAAGGGCAGUAAAAAGGGCUCCUCUGUUGUAUGGAUAGAAGACGCCAACAAUUGCAAGGAGAAAGAUGAAAAUUGCACUAUCGAACAAGAAGAAUUUGUUACUUGUUAGAUCAUUACAACAUAGUUUAGAUCAUAGAUUAAACAGACCCAGUAAGUUCUUACAGGGCAAGAAGCUGAGAACCAGAUCCAAUAAUCGCUGCAAAAAGAGAUUUUUGCUGCGGAAAACGGAAGACGUCACCAUGUAUAUACUUCCAUCCAGUCUCUUCCUGGUCUUCAAGGGACUCAUCUUCAUGGGAAUAUCUUCAACAAAAGUGAGGCAUUAAGAAUGAUGUUAGUAAAGCUGUACAAUCCAUGCAACAACAAUGGAAUGUAUUGAUUAAGGUCUUACUUGAUGAAAUCGUUCUUGAGCACACGCAUCAGGAUUGUUGCCAGAAAGCCAGUCAGGAGAAGUACAGUUACACAUGAGUUGAUGAUGGAAAACCAAUGGAUCUCUAGGUGUUGCGGCAUAGAGGAAGACUUGGAGUAUUUUUCCAUUCUUUUCUCAAAAGGAAUAUCCGUCUUUUUCCAUGCUACUGAAUAAGAGAAUUCUACUGGUACUUCCUUGUCCUCUGUGAUAUCUACAGCCACAUUCGGGUCUGUUUGGACAUUAAUUUCUACGACACGGUCAUUGUUGUACAUGAUGUCAAAGUGGAUGUGCUUAAAAAGAAGGUACUUUCCAGCCCCUUGCUCCUUAUCCUUCUCCAGUUUACCAAGGAAUCCCCAUAAUGGCAGGUCAUCAUAGUACAUCUGGAAGUAGUAAUCCUUUGCAACUGCAUCCCGGAGCUUGGCAACUUCCUCCUUGGACAAUGUUUUCUUGCAGAGAGUCUUGGAGUUCUUAUCUUCCUUAAAGUUCAACUCGUAUGGUGCAUCAACCAACCGAUCACCGUUUAGAACCUCCCCGAGAGCCUCCUUUUUGUCCUUCGGGUGUUCUAUUACAGGCCCAGCAGCAGUUAAUAAGAAAGAGAAAUGACUUGGGCAUAAACCAACAAAGAGAUUGCUAAAUAAAGCAAGUAACAUAAAGGCAUGCGGCAUUAGAAGAAAGCUCACAAACCUGGUGCACAAAAGGGUAGAUCAUAGUAGCGGUAUGUCUCACUGCAACACACAAAGAGUAACUCAAUUAUUGAUCUAAAGAAAAGUAAAUCAAUUUUAACAAGUGCCGAUUAAGUAACAGAACAUGGUUGCAGUCCUAUUGUAGAAUUGUUUUUUGAUGUACUUGAAUUGUGACUCGAAAAAAAAAGAGGUACUUGAAUUUUGAAAUACUGAAAUUACCGUACAGUUCAUGUGGCGUUUUUGUCAGGCCAGCAGAGAGCUACUUUGGGUAUGAUAGAGCUAUCCAUACUAUUUACUACUCCCUCCGAUCCAUAAUAAGUGUCACGUUGUACUAUAUCAGCGACACUUAUUAUGGAUCGGAGGUAGUAUCGUGCAAGUGAAUUACAGAACUUAUGUACCAACUACUCUAGCUCCCUCUCCUGGCACUGACAAACCCCGCACUUGCAGACUUUGGCAACUCAUAGCUACAAGUAACACCCACCGCCAGAAAUGCUUAGAAUCAAUUUAGCAGUAACACCAUUCCAACUUAACCACAGUUACCGGCAAAAACACCAAACCAAGUCCUAAGUCCUAACUCAUCCAUCUCUACCCAGACAAUGUACUCUUCACACAGUGCAAGGGCGAGACAACCGACAUGAACUACAAAUCGCAAGAGUAAAGACAACAGACAAACGUCGAUCCCUGGUUGCCGAGCACCGCAGCAGAAUUAUACCUUGGGUUGUGGAAAGGGCCGACCUUGUUGGCGUAGAGCGGGACACGAUCUCCCUCCUUGUACCGGUGGUCGGAGCCGUCGGCAGCAGCCCCCAGCAGCACACAGGCCAGAACCGCCACCGCAAGAGCAGCAAUCGCUCUCGCCAUCUCUUCCUCAGCCAGCACCUACCACGACCCCGAGUUCCAAAGGGCGGCGGAUCUAAGAUGACGCGCCCCGAAAUUCCGAGGAGGUCAGUUCGGGUUUAAGAAAUCAGUGGAGGAGGAUGAGUAAAACGAGCUCGUACCUCAAGGAGACCCAGCCAAAGGCCCGAGAUUGCGGACGGACGGGGCGGCGGAGAGACGGCAGGGGGGCCGCGAUCUCGCGACGAGGCAGGACGGGGGACGGUGAGGAGGCACCGGCGGUGACACUAGGAAGAGUUGCGGCGUCGGCUGGUGGCGGCGGAGCGGCGAAGGGGCUAAAGGGGAGAAUUUAGAGCCGCAUUGGGGGAGAGGGAUCGGAGCUCGGGUAGGUCAAACCAUGAGAGGGAGGAGAGUCGGAAGGUGCGUGCGAGAGAAUGCGAGAUGGCGGAGAGGAAAAAACGCCGUGGAGGAGAUGACGUUUUUGACUAGGGAUCGGAGAAUUGACGAGUACAGUACAGAUUUGGUAACAUAUAAAACGAGAAAUAAAAAUAAAUACUGUAUAUAAACUUGCUCGACAAAAUAAUAGUACUUUCUCCGUCCCAAAAUAAGUGAGUCACCACAUUUUAUUAGCUUAGUCCGAGUGAAAUAUUGACUUGCAAGUACUCCAUCCGUCACAUAUUAAAUGUCACGACUCUGUCUAAAUAUGCAUGUAGUGUCUAGAUACAUGUGUAUUUAGAAAAAGUUGCGACACUUAAUAUGAGACAGAAAAAGUACUAUUAUUUAAGCAUUAAAGACUAUUGUUACUUAAGUUGACAAUUAAUCUAAUACUAGCAGUGUUAUCUCUUAUGUAAAUUUUUGGCGAUUAAAUUGAUAACACGUGGUUUUUUUUUAUCGGGAUUACACGUGGUUAUUGUGACACAAAAGUGGUAGCACUGGUUUGUAUAAGAAAUAUUUUUUCAAUGGUAUAAUAGAGCAUAUAUUUUUUCUGUGCCUAUUUGUUGGUCAAAGUUCAGCAUAAGUUCAUUCCAGAGUAUUUUGCAACAAAGUAUUACACAAAUUAGGUAUUCCAUCGAGAUGACUUUUGUUUUGCAGGACGGCAUUCAAAUUCCAUCUUAUCGGACGGUACAUCAUUUAAGCUAUUCAAGAGGUUGUUUCCGGUGCCAGGAAUUAUUACCGUAUUUAAUUGUGCUGGCACGAACGUUCUUUAGUUGUGUGUGUCAUUGUAACCGAAUUAGGCUUGAACAUCAAGGUGAAAACAAAAGAUCUCAAUAAAAGUGCACAUAUGACUACUUUCUUUGUUACUAAAUAUAAGACGUCUUAGUUUUGUCCUAAGUCAAACUUCUUCAAGUUUGACCAUGUUCUUUAGUUGUGUGUGUCAUCGUAACCGAAUUAGGCUUGAACACCAGGGUGAAAACAAAAUAUCUCAAUAAAAGUGCACAUAUAACUACUUCCUUUGUUACUAAAUAUAAGAAGUCUUAGUUUUGUCCUAAGUCAAACUUCUUCAAGUUUGACCAUGUUUAUAGUAAAAUCUACUAAGAUUUAGAAUAUCAAAUAAAUACUAUGAAAAUAUAUAUCAUGGUAGAUUUGAUAAAACUAUUUCAGAGUUGUAGAUGUUGCUAGAUUUAUUUUCUAUAAACCUGAUCAAAUUUGAAAAGGUUUGAGUUAGACAAAGUUUGGAUUUUUACUUUUAGGAGUAGUAAACAAAGUGCACCAAGAGACGCUUCUCUCCCUACGUACCAUCCAGUGCACACCACACCCAUAUAGCGAGAAAGUGUAGGUGGAGAUUCAGAGUCAGCGAUGUGGUUAUUUGAGUCUUUGAGGAGAAGCUCUGAAAGAUUUAGUAGCUCAGAGGUCAUAAAAGGACAAAUAAUGGAAAUAUGUAUAGGUGUAUUUUUCCAUUAACUUACUUUUAUCAUGGAGUUUGGCAGGUUUGCAUCCAAAUUGUAGCUGACCGUUUGACACGAUGGGAAAGUUUACCUACUCCCUCCGUCCAACAAAAGAUGUCUCAAGUUUGUCAAAAUUUGAAUGUUACACAUGACUUAGUGUAUAGAUGCAUUCAAAUUUAGUCAAAAUCAAUACAUCUUUUGUUAGACAGAGGAAGUAAAACAAUUUUGUGUCGUUAGAAAAACACACAAGUGCAGUGAAGUCGAAGCCUAGAUAGAUUACAAAAUAGUCAAAUUGCAUAUCAGGGUCAAUCAAUCUGCUUACCGCUUGAUCUAGACAUUCAAAAUCAGAAAAAGUCAAACAAGACGUGCAAUAUACAAUUAGAGAUGUCAGUACGGCGUGUAUGCCAUCAUUGCCAUGCAUGCGUGUAAACAAAUUCAAGUACUCUUCCCUAGAACCGAUUCGAGAUAAUACAUACUACUCCUGUACGUUUGCAUGCUAGUAGUAGUAAGCAUGUAGAAACAUGCAUAUCAAGUACUGGUAGUGCUGCAUGCUAAGUAAAUGUUGCCAUUGUCAUAUACCACUGCAUCCUACGGAGUACUAUUUUCGCCAUCAUGGCUUGGGUUCAAUAAUCCUCACAGCCGUGUUAAUGAAUUGCACGACGUAACUUAAGAUACGACACAAAAGAGAUAUUGUCACAUUUAUAUUGGAAAACUCUAUCUAAUGGUAUAAUUUUUAUAUACAUAUCUUCAAUGUAUUUUUUAUAAAAGUUUGGCACAAAACCCAACAGAGACCUUAUAAAUCCCAACAGAGAUAGUAUUUCUGUUCCGAAUUAAAUGACAUUUUCGAAACUAAUUUAAUUAUUCAAAACUUCAUUUAAUUCGAUGCAUGUGGAUCCCACAUAUCUGCAAGAGUGACCUUUCUAGGCCAACCUUCAAUUCUUCAAGCCAAAUUUCGAACAAAUUGUUUGAACCAGAUAGCUGAAAGCGGGACAUAACCGACGUCCUGCGCUUGCAUCCCUAGAUAUGUUAAUUCUGAUAGUGAAAACAGAAAACAGAAGCAAGGACUAACUAAAUGGAUUGAGAUUGAGCUAGCCAUGUCCCGCGAUUCAUGGAGGAACACGUGCCUUUGCACCUCCAAAACAAAACUACGAAAGUGUGUUAUCAAAAGGCUAAUUGGAGUGUCAGCCACGACAAAGUGGGCAAAAAAAAAAGGAGAGACAUAUGAGAGCGACCAUGCAAAGAGAUUGCACCGCUGGUAAUAUUAGCCAUCUGUUGGACGCACUGGCAAACAAGCAAGCAAGCAACGUGCAGAGAUCCUAGUCGUGCCAGCCUCAACCAAAGAAGAGCUUAGCGAGCUAGCAUCCAUGAUCUGUUCCUCUCCUUUGCUACCGUCACUCCUCAUCUCCUACACAUGGAUGACAUGUUACUUUUGCUUGCCUUUUCUUCUUUCAGCCCCUACCAGCUCCACACAGAAUGUGCCAGGUGGGUUAAUUAGUUUUGACCUUUGACUAUUGAAAGCUAAGGUUAAGCUCCACAAACCCAACACUCUCGCCGUUUUGAAACAUGGUCGGAUUAAUUUACGUAAUACAAGCAUAUAUUAUAUUUCUAUGUUGUUAACGAUUGCGAAAAAGUAGAAGCUCUGUGUCAUCGUCCAUCGGGUCAGCUAGCGAUCAUUCCAUCGUUCAACAUGACCGAUCGAUCAUUAGCAAGGAAUUACAUCGAUCUCUGUUUCUCUAAAAGACAUGUUGAAUUAGCAUUGCAUCUUUACUGAUGUGUUUCACAAAAGAUGGCUAAGACUGUUUGUUCCUCCUCCCCGGUUGCUCAAGAAAGUCAGAGCAGGAGGAACAAAUGUCCUAAACCAUCCCACGUGAGGUCCUUGUCUAUUCCAAAUCUCCCUCUAAGACCAUUUCAAAGCAACACUUAUUAAGAUUUCGCAAAAGGGAGAAAAUAAAUAAAUUCCAUUAAUGUUUUGUUCGAUUUCAUAAAUGACAAAUCUCAUCAAGGUCUUACUAUCAAUGUUCCAUCCCUGUUUCAAAAAAAAAAUGUGGUCUCAAUCCCAUCACGACUCUCGAGUGCGACAUGGAUUGCGAUCCACAGAGUUGUUUUUAGCAGCAUUUCCACAUCAAAUAAAGAUAGACAAAGAAAGAAGGAUAAAGAUAAUACCUGCGAGCCAGGUGGAUCACGCGGCCCCACAUGUCGGCCCCACGUGACACGCCGGCCUGCCUGAUGGCGCGUAGUAGUAGCUAUUUUCUGCAAAAGCAAAAGCGUGGAUUUUGGGCGGAGGGAUCGUCCGUCGUCCCCAAUAAUGCCGUGACAAGCAGCCAACGAACGCCUCUUUCCGAGAUCUCAUCCCCCACCUUGUCUCUUUCCCCUUCCUCCCCAGCGAAUCACAAUCGCCCCUUCUUGACCCCUUCCAAUUCCGAUCCCGUUUCGCGACAAGCCACCGCUUUCUUGGCUGGUUCUUCCGGAUUGGAGACAAAAAAGCCGCCGCCGCUGCUGCUCCUGCCAUUGCUGCUGCUUCCUGGCGUGAUUGGGACUAAAAGAGGCAACCAGGGCUCGAUUCGAGGCAAGCUUGUUUUCGGAUCCAGGGCGGGAAGGGACUGGAUUGGCGGUGUGUUGUCGGUCUUGUUGUUGUUGUUGUUGUUGUUGUUGCUGUUCUUGGCAUGAGCGUAGGGGAAGAUGGGGCUGGACUACUACAACGUGCUCAAGGUGAACCGGGGCGCCACGGAGGACGACCUCAAGAAGUCGUACCGGCGGCUGGCCAUGAAGUGGCACCCCGACAAGAACCCCGGCGACAACAAGGGAGAGGCCGAGGCCAAGUUCAAGAAGAUCUCCGAGGCCUACGAGGUAUAUAUCAUAUGGGCACUGUAUAAUUAAUUUGUUGCAGCUAAACCUGAAUGAUUUACAAUGCUAAUCCUUCUUGGAAAUGCGCCGUGCGAAAUAAAUUUAGCAGCAAAUGAUAGCAUCUGUUUCGUCGUGCGAUUCAGAAAAUGUUUCUGAUGAUGCAAAAUCGGAGGGAAUCCUCUUUUUUUCUUUUUGCAAUCAUGUCGUUUAUUGCACAUUGCGUUUCAGGUUAUGUCAACCUGGAUUUUUGCAGGCACACAAAAAAUGUUGUGCCUGCUUUCAAGGUUCAUAUGUAUAUGUUUAGACAGUUCAAGAAAUCUGUGAUUAGUUCUUUUGUUCUGAAGAAUGCUGCUCAAAUUGCUGAAUUUUGUGACCAAUGUCUAUUGCCUUUCAGGUUCUGAGUGAUCCUCAGAAGAGAGCGAUAUAUGAUCAGUACGGGGAGGAGGGCCUGAAGGCAUCUGCAGACAACGGUGGCUCGUCAUCGUCAUCGAUGAAUGGCACCGCUAACCACCGUUUUAAUCCCCGGAAUGCCGAGGAUGUGUUCGCUGAGUUCUUCGGUAGCAGCAAGCCUUUUGAGGGGAUGGGGCGUGCCAAGUCGAUGAGAUUCCAGACAGAAGGCGCUGGCACCUUUGGUGGGUUCGGUGGUGGUAAUGACAGCAAAUACAGAUCAUACAAUGAUUCCGCUGGCACCAGCUCUAGCCAGCCCCGGAAGCCACCAGCUGUGGAGACGAAGCUGUCCUGCACGCUUCAAGAGCUAUACUCUGGUUCAACGCGCAAGAUGAAGAUAUCUAGGAACGUGGUGAAGCCUAAUGGGUAAUCCCACUGUUUCCUGUGAAAUUCCUGCAAGAUUUCAAUGAAUCCCUGCUUUCCAAACUGGAAGUACAUUGAGAUGUCAAGAACAUGACGAUUGAUGCAUUGCCAUUUCGUUUCUGUCCCAAAAUGCAUUUUACUUACCUGCUGAUUUUUUAACAGGCAACUGGGGACUGAAUCCGAGAUUCUGACGAUCGAUAUAAAGCCCGGGUGGAAGAAAGGGACCAAGAUCACAUUCCCAGACAAGGGCAAUGAGCAGCCAAACCAGCUCCCUGCAGAUCUCAUCUUCGUCAUCGAUGAGAAACCCCAUGAUCAGUACACAAGGGAAGGCAACGACCUCCUGGUCUAUCAGAAGAUUGACCUGGUGGAUGCAUUGGCAGGAACCACGGUUAACCUGAAGACCCUUGACGGGCGUGAUCUGGUGAUAAAGCUGACAGACGUGGUGACACCAGGGUAUGAGCUUGCAAUCGCAAAGGAGGGGAUGCCUAUCGUCAAAGAGAACGGGAGGAGAGGAAAUCUGAGGAUCAGGUUCGACGUUGAUUUCCCAAAGAGGUUGUCAUCGGAGCAGCGGCAGAAUAUUAGGAAGGUUCUUGGAGGGCAACCUUAGCAGCAAUGAUCAAACCCCGGAUGCAAAUUCAGCUACCCUCUAGUUCUCCACGAAAUGCAGACUAAUUCAGAUGUUCUUCUUUUUCAGUUGGCUUGUAUGUCUAGUUACUUUUGGUUUGCAGGAAUUUCCUGAUUUGCUCCUUUGUUGACAAGAUAGCAAUAUUAAUUGUUGACUAGAUACAGAUUACAGUGUGACAUUGAAUUUUUUUUUUCACCUCUUCUAUUGCAUGUUUCAACAUUCAUUUGCAAAUAUAACAGAUUUCGAUCUCUUGCCUUUUGUGAAUUGUCAUGCUCUUUGAAGUAAAAAUAUUCUGAGUAAUGCCGAGCGCUCAAAUUUGAAAACAUUGCCAAAUUUGUUUUUGAUCAGUAGGAUGGCGGUUUAGUUCAUCAUCUUCCAACAAAUCUCUCCUAUUUCAAAUUCGACUUCAACCGAUAAAUAUGAAUCAAAUCACACCAGCAAAUCCAUACCCUUGAUAACCCAUACAAUUCAAAAGAAAAGUGUCAUGCCACGGUGGGGGAACUUUGGGUUAGACGGACCAACUUUUACAUAGAUUUAGGCUAAUUUGGAGAGACAAAUAGGCUAAGUACUUCAACAAAUGUUUUAAGGUGAAGGAGCAUCAAAUCUCUACUUAUAAGCAUUAACAUUGCGCAACUCAAAAAAAUACGUAUUGCAAUUAGAGACAAGUGGAUCCAGACAUGUUUCUGAAAUUUGGUUUGAACAUAAAUUUGAAACCUAUCAAACAUUUCUCACCCAGCACAGACCUUACCCACCUAUUCGUAAAUAGCAACGGCCUCGCUUGAAAAACGGGCCCCACCCUCUUCCUCCCUACAAAAAAAACGACACUUUUCGCGGUUCCCUUUCCAAGCCGUAAUUUUUUUCGCGCGCCCGCCGAAACCACCGCGUCCGGGAGCCGUCGGAUCGCGAAACGGACGGUGUUCGAUCGAUGAAGCAGGCGGAGGAGAACUCGGCGGCGGCCGCCGGCGCCGCCCAGGAGCCGCCAACGCCGACGCCGACGGUGUGGUACGACCCGAUGUCCCCGACGUCGUCUCCGACGGCGCCACGGCCGCCCGUCAGGGUUUACGCCGACGGCAUCUACGAUCUCUUCCACUUCGGCCAUGCCCGCGCGCUCGAGCAGGCCAAGAAAUCGUGAGCCCCGUUGGACCCUCUUCUCAAUCACGAUUUCCUUUCUUGUUUCUUUCUCUGAAAGCAUUGACAACAUUGUUUCUGAAUUUCUGACACCAAUUUCUGAAUCUCUGGCAUGGAUUUGUUGUCUUCGUCAGAUUCCCCAACACGUACUUGCUGGUGGGCUGCUGCAGCGACGAGGUGACCAACUGGUACAAAGGCAAGACCGUCAUGACCGAGGAGGAGCGCUACGAAUCGCUUCGCCAUUGCAAGCAAGCAACCUUCUGUUUUCUACUUUACCUCCUCCGUUUCUGAAUUUUACCUUUUGUUCUUAUUACUGUCCCAUUUCUGAAUCUUGUUGAAGAUGGGUGGACGAGGUCAUACCCGAUGCUCCAUGGGUCAUCGACGAGGAGUUCCUCGACAAGCACCGCAUCGACUACGUUGCUCACGACGCUCUCCCGUGAGUGUGUACAUACUAUAUUUAUGCAGCAUUGCAUAUUUCAAAUCAAUCUAUGUAUCUAAUAUAGAUGACAGGUGUUCGAGAAACAAAAAUCUAUGACUCUGUGUUUUGUUGAUCAGUUUGUGAAAAGUGUAAUUGACUCACUUCAUGUGAUUUGUUUUCAGGUAUGCAGACGCAAGUGGAGCUGCCAACGAUGUCUAUGAUUUUGUUAGAAUUGAAUAUCUGAAUCCCCUCCUCAUUUUUUUUUUGGACUAAGCAAUGCUGAUGGUCAGCUAACUGGAAAAUGUGUUGUUUGGGCAGGUCAAGUCCAUUGGCAAGUUCAAGGAGACGAAGCGCACCGAUGGCAUCUCAACAUCGGACAUCAUCAUGAGGAUUUUGAAGGAUUACAACCAGUACAUCAUGCGGAAUCUGACCCGGGGGUACUCCCGCAAAGACCUUGGUGUGAGCUAUGUCAAGGUGAUCAUCAGUUCCAGCAGUAACAUCUCCCAAAGCAAAGGAAGGACACCAAGCACUAAUGAAUUACGUGUUUUCUAUUACUGUAAUGUGAUCAGGAGAAGCAAUUGAGAGUGAACAUGGGGAUUAGCAAGCUAAAAGAGAAGGUGAAGGAGCAUCAAGAGAAGGUGAUCCAAGUUACUCUACAAACCCCAAAAAAAUUCGGCAUAGAUCUUCACAUGAUUUUGCAAAUGAUAGUGAUAGUAACUUGGUAACGCAUAUGCAGAUUCAUAGUGCAGCAAAGAUUGCUGGAAGCAAUCCUGUGGAAUGGAUGGAGAAUGCCGACCGUUGUAUCGUUGGGUUUCUUGAAAAGUUUGAGGAAGGUUGCCACAUGAUGGUAAGCAAGUCUUUGAUUAAUUUAAUUUAUCCGCAGUUGUCAAUACAGUAUUUGGUGAUUAUGGAUCGUGUUAUUUAUUUGACAGGAAACUGCAAUUAAAGAUCGAAUUCAGGAGGGGCUGAAGAGGAGAUCCAAAUCAGAGUCGGAGCUGAACCUUUCUGGAUCGGACUCGGACUCAUAAAGAUGUUUGUGGGAAUCAGAUUCCUGCAGUAAAUGUAUAGUAUUAGAUUAGCAUGUUGUUAUAGCCUUGUAAGACAUCAAACUGCAACGGUGGUUUAUAAUAGGAGGUUAUGUACCAUUGAGAACAAUAAUUUUUUGCGGUGACCGAUCAGUCUCUGUUUCUUAAAGAUUGCUCAUUUGCAUUUUGCCUCCUAAAUGACAUUAUUCCUCUGAGAAACUUGGAUUUGCAGUACAUGAUCUCAUUCUUGUGAUUAUGUUUGUCAAUGGCCAUGUGUUAUUUUUAUUUAUUUCUUUUCGAGGAACCGGCAGGAUAGAAGUUAUUUACAGUGCUGCCUUUUCAUUAAGAAUGAUAGAAGUUAUUUACAGUGAGGAGCAGGUUUUUUGAGGGGAAAUGCCGAGGAAACCCCAACGAGAACAAGAAAAAACUAGUCGGGCUGUAGCACUGUGUGAUGUCCUCGAAGCUCGCAGGCAAGAUGAGUGACUUCGACCUAAUUGAGAAGCUUAAGAGUGAAAAUGCGACAGUUCGCUCCUUCCUGGCUUUCCACCAGACGUAGAUAAGUCAACCACUUUGCUUCCUCUUAAUGUCCUUGCCAGAAAGGAAAAGGGAGGCGUCCCACCACUCCUCUGAUUGCUUCUCCUGAAUAAGAUCAUGUGUAAUUUUAUUGGCCAUGUGCUAUUGCCACCAACUAAAUAUCAUUCAUAUACUUCUCCCUUUUCUUUCAGCUACCAUGAUAUAGUUUUCAGGGUAGUAUUGGUUAUACACUUAUACAUGAAGAUGCAAUUGGUAGCGGUUCGUCAGAUUUAGAUAAGCUGGAGCUAGCCUAUUUGCAGAACCCAAUGUUACAAUAAUGUAUUUUUAGCAACCAAGAACUAAAUUUAACACAUGCACAUGGAGAAUUCUGUUGAUUCAGAAACACCUAACGAAAAUAAUAUUUGUUAUCCUGAGUCAUACUCCUAGUAUACCAUCAAAACAAUUUCCCCUCUACAUACGAAUACUAGAAACGGAAGCUAGCUAUUUUCUAAUCUUGCCACCAACAAUUCGGUCCUGAUACUACAGUAUCACAUAAAACUUUGAUCAUCAUACAACACAACUCAAGAAAUUAAGCAGAAACAGUUCAUUGUCAUUCACCCUGGACUUCCUGUUUUACAUAAUGAUUUGAUUAUUUGGGAAACUGUUGUCUUCAAUGAUUUCACUGUCUCAUUGUCAGUUCUUCACCUAUGCCCUCUGAAAUACAUGUAUACUCCCUGCAAAACAGUAGAUUUGGAAGGAUGUCAUGAAACCACAGAAACUGUAGGAUGUCAUGUAUGUUCACUAAUUGCGCAUGUAAUAAUAUGGUAAAGGCACAACAAAAGCUGAUCAUUUCUGGUAGUCGAGGAGCCAUACUAGAAAGCAAGGAAACAACAAAAGUUUCUAGGCAUAUUCUUUUUUAGUUCCUCUCAAAAAAAUUGUUUUUCUUUGUUGAGCUUGCAACCAAGUGAACUUAUAAGAGUGAUAGUACAAACAAAGAGAAGAUGUUCCAUGAAAACAACAAUGUGAAAGAAAUGAAAGGUGGAACCGACAAUAACCUCAAGAACCCAAAUACUCAUAAGCGAUUCCGCAGUAAAUAAUAUGAAUCCAAUUAGAUACAGUACCUGCAUUACUCCAAAAAGGACACAAUUAAGGACUCACGGCAAGUUUUAGUGCUGAAGUAAAAUAUGUUCAAAGUUAACCAUAAUAGCGCAGAAGAACUAACCCCGACGAACAUAUCUCCGCUUAAAACAUCGAUAGCAACAAGAAUUCCCCUGAUUUCAGGUAAAGAACUGUAUCGAACUAUUGCAGUUGGAAACUUUGGCAAAAUGAAAAAUGCUUGACUUACGUAAGAGUUUUUCCCAUGAAUAUUAUUGGAGGAGCAAUUGCAGCAAUGACACAAAAUCCAACAUGCACCUGGCACAUAUCAAGCCAUCACUAUGCUCACCAGUGCAUUACCAUAGGAUCAAACAUAAAGAUAGAAAAAUGCAAUAGGGUUAUCUUUUUAGUUGAAGGUUAUUAGCAUGUGGAACUCAGCUCGGUGUAUAAAUAGAAGUACCGAGUAGAAGAUGAAAAACUGGCCAAAGGUCACCACGCUAUCGGUUCUGGUGUACAAAGGUAAGAUAAUUUUGUUACCAUAUUGGCAUUCUCAUAGAGCAUUUCCAGAUAAUGGUAAUUUACUUGGAAUUUUAAUUGAAAAGAAACCUCAUGGCCUGGUACAGAGGCCUGUACCAUAGUAUGUAUGAAAGAGGACAUCCAAAUAUUGCAUAGAUGACGGCAAGGAGAAAAAGAACAAUAUCUGCCAUAAAAAGGAGACAUGAUGUAAAAUAUGCAUGCUUAAGAAAAUGGUUUAUCUGGCAAGAUAUUUAGCACCUUCCAUGUGAAUUGAUUCGACUAAAACUGCAAAGACAUUCCAACUGAGACAGACAACAAUUCCUGCAAGAAGAGCAGCCGAUGAACAGGAGCUGAACUGAUGAUACUUCGUUCUUAUCUAUGUUGAAAACUAUCAGCAAUAAUCUCAAUUAAUAGGAGAAAACUGAUGUAAGGGUAAAAACCUAGCCAACUAGCAAAUGCUGAGUACUGCAACUUUUGAGCAUGGAUGGGUAUUUCAUUGGCUAUAUCAUGAUGUAUGAUGGGGAAGAACGGUGGCCAAUUUUUCACUUCGACCAUGACACCGGCUGCACAACCAGAUGUAUAUUUCAGAAUUCAGACAAAACGUGAAAGCAUGAUGGAUUUAUCUUAUGAUGCUCUCUUAGGACUACCUCUGUUCAUUGUAUUCUCCCUUUGUAUGAUAUCCUGCAACAAAAGUCACACUUCUGAUUCUGAAAACUCUUUGAGGACUCACUUUCAUAAAUUUGUUGACUAGAAAGACAAUAAUUAUUGGACAUAUGAAGCAACCCAAAUGAACAUAUGACACUCUAAGAUUACGAAAUAAUUGUGGAAGUGAAUCUAUAGGAUUUCUAAUUAAGUGAAAAGGAGAACGGACCCGCUCUCUCCUCUUCAAAUCCUCCUCCCACGAUAAGAGCUCUUUCUCCCGCUUCCUCGGAUCCUACAUGAAUUAGGAUUAUCAUUAGGUGUACCAAGAACACAAUAUUAUCUUGUGUAUGAACAAUGUAUACAUAUAGUGGGAUGUCGAUGGUGGCGCCAUGGUUAAUGCUGCCUCCAAAGCCCGCCGGGAUCCAGGAUUUCUUCGAUGGAGCUGGUGCCAAUGCCUGUCCAUUAUGAAAUACAAACGAUAUGUCCCAAGAAAAUAACAAUCAACUGUCAUCAUGAUUCUUCACAAAAAAUGACACUGAAAUAACACCCCGCUUAAACUCAGGCUGCAUACUGAACUACAUGAGAGUUGGAUUGUUCUAUUAGUAUGCAUAGAAAAUGAUCAGAUCAGAUAAGUCCAAUGGAAAAUCAAGAUAUAAAAGUUGAAUAAUUUGAUCUAAUCUCAAUAAAUCUAUCCAAAGAAACCUCGCAAGCAGACCAGAAUGCAAAACGAUUCAGAGCAUUUUGUUCUUCUAAGAAAUUCAAUCCAGACAGUCUCGAUACAGAGAUCAUCAGAACGCAUGGGUCUUUUUUUUAACCAAAGUUAAUCUGGACAUGAGAAACAAUGCUCCAAAGAGAAAUGUCUCAUCAAAAGACAAAUAAUUUGAACCCCAAAUAAGAAGAAGAAACAUGUAAAGUCUGGAAUACCGCUGUAGGAUUGACAUUUUCGUCUUCAAACGGAUUUGUGUUACGAGACAUCAUUAGGAAGAUCCCUCGGCAUGAAUAAAUCCCUGUGUUGUCUACCUUUGGGAUGAGCCGAAAUCUGUGCUGCAAUAAAUCUGUGCAUGGCCAACGAAAGGAAGUUAGUUAUUUUCAGUUAAUGCUGGCCGUCUAGCGCUUUGGUCCUUAUUGGUUGUUACAUUCCAAUACCAUCAGCCCCUCGUUUUAUUACGUUUUACCUUUUUUAUCCCUUCUUCCUCUCAUUUUGGAAAGUGUAGGAAUUCUUACAGAACUGUUGAUUCGUAAUCUCACAGAAUUCACGAAAAAUCCUGGGUUGUUAGUUUUGUCUUUUAAGCAGUUUAGUACAUGCACGUUAUAGACUGUAAGAAAUCAGAACAGAAAGAAACACAGUAGGCCUGCGAAGUGGAAUUUGAUGGAGCUGAAGAGACAGAAUCAAUUUCAUGCCCCGUUAAACAUAACAACUGCAUCCAGUAUCCACAUUGCAGUGAGCUCGAUACAGAAAAUGCAUUGAUUCAGAAAUGAGACAAAUGCCGUCUAUAGAAGAUCAAUCUGAAGUUAACGCGGCGUUAUUAUGCCAUACACAGUAGGAGGAAUUUUCACAGAUAACACUUUGCUAUCAAGCGUAAUACACAAUACACUGGCAGACAUUGUAAACCAAAUAAGGAGGCAACAAAUCCAAAUUUCUGCAGUAUCUUCUCUAUUUAGUGAUGGUGGUCUUGAACAUAGCGAAGACCACAGUAUUUGCACACAGCAGGGGCCUCCAGAUCAAGGCAGAUAUACUCGAUUGGAUGGCCAAGGGCAGGGUUACUAUCUGUAUAUAUAAUCCAAAUGGAAACAGUCAGCCUUGCAGAAAAUGAAUGCCCAUGACUCCAUGGGUGAGUAUAUUAAUAUAUGUAGCAAGCGAAAAAGGGACCGAAGCACGGUAAUGAGAAUUUGUAAAAAAAAAAAAAAAAAAGCAGGCUAGAGUUUGCUUUCGCCUACCCCCUUCACAAGCGACAAUUCGCCCUUCAACCUUGAUCGGCGGCACCUCAUUGAUCAGUUCCAUCGGAGAUUUCUUGCUUGUGUCCUGCGAUAAAUAAAAUCAGAGAGGAUCAAAAAUUAUAAACACUCCUUUCAAAAGAAAAAUUAUAAACACUGGCAAUAUAAUGAGUGACAAAAAAUAUCACUGUCUUCAACCAAUAAAGCUCACAAAUUAGGUAGUUGUGCAACUUAAGUUGUGAAUAUCACACGACAAACUCAUGCCAACUACCUGGUAUAUUGGUAUAAGUACAAAUUCUGCUAUCUUUGAGGAUAUGGGAAUCCCAAAGCUAAGAAUUGACUUUCAGGCAUCACUUUUUGACAGCGCAAGGAAUAUUGGUCUUUACUCAGUUCAACAAUUGACCUCUCAUAUAUUAUUGCUGCAGUAGCCACUUGCUAUAGUAGUUCCCAGAAAAGCCUCAAAAUGAUACACGUCGUUUAAGUUUUACUCAGUGAAUAGGCGAAAACCAAAAUCGAUACUGUCCAAGUAUGGUAGGAUGGUGUUGGACUACUGGGCUGCUGGCUGUGACAUUAUUGUAACAGAAAUACAAUUGGAAGAUUAUUCAGAUACAUCAUAAGCUCUUGCAUACAUUCUUAUCUGUAACCUAUGACAUGAAAUGAGGAGAAAACGGUUUCACUUGAUCAACAAGGUCGAUAUAACAAAUUGUUAGAAGGGAGGUCCAGCCAUAAGUCGGUAAAACAUCUGUAACCUAUGACAUGAAGAAAUGAAGUAAUACAAAAAGGAAAAGAAAGAGAAAACAAAAAUCAUGAUCAACUAAGCCCUCUCGAGGGCUUGCUUAAGAAUAAGAAAGAAGAAUCUUAUGGAAAUGGAAUAAGGUUUGAUCCUAUUCAUGGGGAUUCCGUAAAUAUGCCAUUCCAAAAAUAGAAACAAUCGGGACUUUUCGGAGAUUGGAUGCAGUUACUAAUUCAUGAUCUGGCAUGUACAGAAUGAAAACUUCAUUCUCGAUUCUACGAGAAUUUUUAUGAAAGCGCUUCAUUUGCUUCUCUUCCAUGGAAGUUUCAUUUUCCCAGAAUGUAUCCUAAUUUUUGGCCUAAUUCUUCUUCUGAUGAUCGAUUCAACCUCUGAUCAAAAAGAUAGACCUUGGUUCUAUUUCAUCUCUUCAACAAGUUUAGUAAUAAGCAUAACGGCCCUAUUGUUCCGAUGGAGAGAAGAACCUAUAAUUAGCUUUUCGGGAAAUUUCCAAACGAACAAUUUCAACGAAAUCUUUCAAUUUCUCAUUUUAUUAUGUUCAACUUUAUGUAUUCCUCUAUCCGUAGAGUACAUUGAAUGUACAGAAAUGGCUAUAACAGAGUUUCUGUUAUUCGUAUGUAUAUUUAAAACAAUCUACUAAUGGUCUGCUGACUGCCAAGCUUCAGCAAAGAUAUAGAAACAAACUUAAAAGACACACAAUGCAUCAAGAUAUAAUGUGUCAAAAAAACAACAGAAUGAGUGCAUGUUACGGGACAUGCAAGGAUUACACAUCUCAUCAAGGAUAAUCGAAGAAACUACAAACCAGCUGUGCCUUCCUUCACUG
rnacentral:lncRNA from 1 species